UCUCCCCUCACUUUUCUCUUUUCCUCCCGAUUCUCUCUCCUCCCACCCGAUUUUCUUCUCCCUCCGCCCGGAAACUUCACCACCGCCGUCCGCCGCCGUCCGGCCACCACCGACCGCCAGACUGGUCCCGUUCGGACCCUUGCCUCUUCCUCUCUCAUCCUGGACCGGUGCACGCGUGCGGAACGCCGCCGUGAAGGAGCAGUCAACCCCGAAAGGUUCGACUGCCGGAAAGGGUUUUUCGCCGGAGCUCCGUCUUCCGGCCACCAUAGGUCGUGAUUUUUGGCUCAACCUGUAGCCCUCAUCUAGGUGAGUAAUCCUUCAAAAGGUUUCGGCUAAAUUCGAUUUCGUUAGGGUGGUUUGUAUAAUUGAAAGUUUUAGGGAUUUAUGGAUGUUUUUAGUCGAUUGCCCUAGUUAGGCUUGGAAUUGGUGUUUGUGCUAGUUAUGAAAGUUGUAGAGCUUGAUGAGAGGAUUAUUCUGUCAAAAUUUCAUAGGUUUUGGAGGUCGCCGGAAUUGGCCUCCUGCCGCCGCUGCCGGCGGAGCUACCGGCGGCGCCGCCGCCGGUUAGGAAAUUUUUAGGGUUUUAAGUGUGGAAUAUUAAGAGGAGUUUAUUGAUGUGAUUUAUGGAAUUUUUGGAUGAGAUUUGGAUAGGUUUGUGAAUUUCCGAAGUUUGGAUUUUUGGCGGUUAAUUAAUGUAGAAUCCGACCGUAGGAUUUAAGUCGUAAUUUGGGGAGGUUGUAUUUACGACUGUUGAGUAUGAUAUUUAAGUUCGGAUCGUUCCGAUUUAAGAAUAUCGAAGUUAGGCAUUGAUGAGCGUAUUUAUGGCUCUCUGGUAAUUUUGCCUAUUUUGAUUAAAUAUUGGAUUAUUGGUUGGGAAAUUAAUAUUAUAUUUGGAACAGGACGUGAGGAGGCUCGAGCAGACGAGGCCCCAGAUCGACAUCAGGCUUAGGCCAAAUUUGUGAUUGGACGUUUAUUUUAAAUAAAUGCAUGCUAUGGUUCAUGGUUGAACAAUUAAUGUUGCGGAAUAUUUUAACGUCAUUUUAAUUUGACGAUUUUUAUUUCUCUUGGAGAGUUACCGAAAAUGGGAUUUUCGGUGGAUAUAAAUAUGUAUUUAUGAGAGAGUAUGUAUAUAAAUGCUAGCUAGCCAUAUGUGUCUGUCCACCUUAAUGGCGUAGCAUAUAGCCGCAUUAUGGUGUGACGUGAGCGUUGGACGUAAGCGUAGUAGCCCUAUUUGAGUGUUUAAUUCAUAUAGGGGGUAUGGACACAUAUUUAUACACCCGUCUGUCCACCUUGAUGGCGUAGUGUAGCACCGCAUUAAGGCGUGACGUGAGCGUUGGACGCGAGCGUAGUAGCCCUAUAUAGACCCAUGAAUUUAUAUAGGGAGUAUGGACGAGUGUAAAUACAUACAUAUAUUAUAGAGUCUGAGAGGCUCGAUAUUUUAUGGGAUAAAAUUUUUAUCGCUUGCGGUAUGCAUUCGAUUUUUCCUUAGAAAUUAAUUUGGGGAAACAUAAAUAUUUUAUUUAUUAUUUUAUUUUUGUCCACUCACUCUAACGUUAUUAAAUGUUUUCCCCUGGGCCCUUCGUUUUAAAUUGCCCAGUCUGCAGAGUUCGGGUUGGAUCUAGUAGGAGACGAGGCAUAGUCACCCGCAUUUCUGCCAGUUUUCGUCAGUAGGUUACCUGUUCAACCUACUCGUGUUUUCUUUCUUCCGCUUGUGUUUAGUAGCUCUGAAUACUUUGGGAUUAUUGUAUAUUAUGUGUAGAAUUUCUGAAGGAUGAUUAUGUGAUGUUCGGAAGUGUUGAAUUAAGAGUGUAAUAUGAAAUUUUUGAGUUAGGGUUGUCCAUCUGCAAGGGAGAUUUGCUUAAUCUUUUCAGUAAAUUUUCCUUGGAGGUGGUCCCCGCACGACUUACUCCGGGUUUUUGGGUGAAAUUUGGGGUGGGUCGUGUCACACAGGACAACAAAGUCAUGGUAAGGACAUAGCGGAGCUCAAGAAGCAAAUGGGUCAAGUAGUGGACUUCAUGGGAAGAAUAACUGAAUGUGGAAAGUUUCCACCCAACACCGUUCCGAAUCCCAACUUUGAAAGACUCUAAACAUUAAGCGCUGUUUGGGAGGACCUAAUUCAACACAGAUUUGCUUUCUUCUCUCUUCUUCUCUUUUAUUUAUGUUUUUGUGUGCUUUGUUUGUUUUUCGUGACUCUUUCUUCCCAUACUUUGAUUCUAUGCUUAAUCUUGUGUUACAUUAUGGACAAUGUUGGGUUUCAAUGUGGGGGAAGGAUUUACAUCUUUUUGUGUCUUUUAUUGAAAAAUAAAAUCAAAAAUCAAAAAAUUUGAAAAUCUAAAAAUAAUUUUUGUUUUCUGUUUUAGUCUUUUGUUUUGUUUUUGAGUCUUAGGAGCCCUUAACUGUACGUCUAUGAUGAGUGAUAAUCUCUGAAAUUAUGGAUAAGAUCACAAGAUGAUUUCUAACUAAUAUUCAGUUGUUAAUUGACAUGAAUAGAAAUCAUGUGAAAUGUAGUGGAUAUGAUUUGAAUCUUUGGUACAGAAAUGAGCAUGCUAAGACAAGUUUUUGAUUCAUAUGACCUUAAAUGUGAGCUUGUGAGCAUAUUUGUGUCAUUCUUUCUAAGUGAUAAUUGAAAUAUUCUGAUUCGUUUUCUUGGCUAUAAUUUUUCGAAAACCUCAUUAUUGUUUUAGUUUGAUUGAUUGCUCACCACAGCUUUUAAUGAAUUCUAGAUGACUAGAACUCACUCUUGUGGACUUUCGAAACUUUUAAUCAUAAAACGCUCUGAUUUUGAAAAGGAUAAAUGAAACUUUUUAGGAUGAUCACCAUUGCCAAACAAGCUUGUGCCCCUAUUUGUGUGUGUUGCACACCCCUUAGUUUAAACCUCUUUGAGCCUACGUUAAGUCUUUUCUUUCAUCACCAAUACAAUUUUUAUGUUGAUCUUAGUACAGUGAUAUCUCUACCCUUGUCCUUUCGGCUUAGUAGAGCAAUUGUGAUAUAUUGUAUGAAGUGAUGUUGUGAAACAAGUGUGGGGGAGUUGAAUGUCUGUGUAAAAGAAAAUGCCGUGAAAAGCAUAAAAGAAAACAAAAUUUCGGCAGAAAAAUAAAAAGAAAAAAAUGGACAUUGUCUUUGUGUUGUGAAAUGGGAGUUUUGGUUGUAAGUGGAAGGCCCAAAAACAGAAUAUUUGGCCUUUGUUCUUUUUCACAAUGUUUGAAGGUGUUUAGAAUGACGAAGGGCCCAACAAGAUGACAUUUGGCCCUUGCUUUGGCGACAUAAGGCAUGUUUGAAUGCUCUGCUAGGUCAUUAGGAAUUGUGCAAUUCCUUACUCUUCAAUUCAUAACCCUAGCCUAGCCAAAUUAAUACCUUUUAAAGUUCCUUUUGAUCUAAAAGAUGAGUAAACCUUGAUCUGUGGAGUUUGUUCCAAGAGUUGAGCCUAUGGUGUGGUUCAUUUGUGUGAGUAAUUGAUUCUUUCAUGAGGUUUAUAUCUGCUCUAUUGUGCUUUUGUUCAUAUAAAUGCAAGCUUUCUGAUUCUAUCUUGCAACUAUCGAGUGAUUUAGACAGAAAAUCUAAGUGAAAAAUGAGUGCAUAUCUUGUGAGAAUGAAUCAUACUUAUUUGAAACAUGCUGAGCUUAAAUAUCACCAUUAUUCUAUCAGGUCCUACAUGUAAAUAUGUGAUCUAUACAUGACAAUUAGCUUUUGAAACUUCAUGGAAUGAUUCUUGAUUAAGUGCUAAUUUUGAUGUCAUGAGAUUGGAGAUUCUGAGACAAUAUGUUAUGGGCAAUAGAGUUAAUUGUUUGUUGAGUCUUGUAGUUGUGUAGUUUCUGGUUUGUGUGUUUUGAGUCUUUUUGAUUGAUUUUGCCAAGAGACUAGCAAAAGCUAAGUGUGGGGGAAUUUGAUAGGUGCAUUUUAUGCAACGUUCUUAAUGUAUUUCUGACCCUAUUUAGCUAUAUAAUUCCUUUAACAAUAUUGAUUUUAACUUAGUUUGUGUUUUUAGGUUGCAAAUAAAGCCGAGGAGCACAAAAGAAACAUAUGAGGAGAAAUCUUGAAGGAAGAGGAAUCCAUAUGGCGCAAGGAAAGAAAUCAGAAAAUCUGUCAAGAAUAGUUAGUCAACUUCGACAGAGUAUUGUGAUCAGCUCACAAUGAUCCAGGAGAUAAACCUUAUAUCAACGGAAAGCUAGAAGAGUCUAGUUUCCAGAAAUUUUUGCGGAUCGUCAAUAGCUAUUUUGGAGAAGACGUUAUGACUGUUUGAGUGACCAAAGGUCAGUCUGCCCGAAUUUCUGAUUUGGACCGAAACUUCAAUUUCAAGGCCCUGACCACAACGGCGAGCCCAUGGACGAAAAUUAAAGGUUCUCUAACCCUAAUAGCAGCUGUUCAUAUGUUCUCUAUAUGUAUGAGGAGAUGUGAAAAAGGGGUCGCUCUUUGCCACAGAAAAACAACGUCUUUCAUCUCCUUCAGAAAUUCUUCUCGAAACACAAACCCUAAUUUUAGGACUUCUCUUGACGUGCCAUCUCCUUUGUAAUCCUCGGUGUAGUUCCUUGUUUCAAUACAAAGUGUAAUCUAAACUCAGACCUCAUGUUUUCUUUUACUAUCUAUUCAAUUACUUUAGUUUGUUUUCAUCUCUCUUAUUCGUUUGUGUUCAUGAGUUGGAUUUUUGAUUGAGUUUGUUCUUAUAAUCAUGAAAAUCAGAUCUGUACACUUGAGUUGUUUGUGUAAUUGAUGAUGCUUUUGAUGAUCUAAAUUGUGUUUAUGUGUGAUUGACAACUUAUGACUUGUUAUUAAUCAAUAUGUGCCAUUGUUUGUGUUAAGUCCGCGUCGGUAAACAUGAACUAGAAUGGUAAGGAGUUAUAGGUUGCAUGCUAGGAUGUUUUUGAAGUCCGCGUCGGUGAAUUACAUUCUAACAAGUUCAAGUUCUUCCUCUGAUCUAUUUUAGAUAUGAAGUCCGCGUCGGUACAUAUCUAUGAGAAGUUAGAAGGAUUUUAAGUAGUUAAGUCCCCGUCAGUAAAUUACUUGAAAUAUGGAAUUUGAUUCGUUUCUCCAUAUGCAUGAUUUAGGUUGUUAGGGUUGAAAUUGCAUAGCUACUUGAUUAUAUGAAUCUGAUUUAGUGUUUUCUUUUAUAUAGUAGCUUAGGUUUUUGUUUCUUUAUAGUUUAGGAUUUUCGUCACUCUUCUGUCCCCUGUUUUAUUUUAUUUUAUUUUCAUAUCAAACGAUCUCCGAUCCCCUUGAAAAUUUCUACAGUUGUUCCUCUGUGUGUCUAAUAUAUCUCUGUAAAUUUUCGUAUUUUUCUGAGUAGUUUGGGUUAGGUUUUUAAUUAGGUUUUCAACUACUAUUCAUUAGAAACAGUAGCUACUUUUGUAAAUUGUUUAAAGAUUUUAUUACUUGUUAAUAUUAGUCAUGUUUUACUAACGUUUUGUUUUGCAAGGUACCCUCAAUCCCCGGCCCUAUACGAUACCCUUAUUUACCUUAUGCUACUGACGAUAAAAAGGGUUUAUUUGAUGCAGGUUUUGCACCCGUCACCCGAGAUGGCUCACAAAGUCAGGUAUGAAUUUGUGGAUUUGCAGUAGUUUGUGAGUUGAUCCAUUGUGACUCUUAGAUCAAUGUUUACAGUAUCGUCCUUUUUUGGAUGGAUUACAUUGGAAUUUAGUUGUGGGAAAGUUCGAUUACACUAGUUUGUCAGCUACCGACAUUAUGUUUCUGGUAGGAACCUAUAUAUGGAAGAGAUACUCCGCCAAAAAAAGGCACCAAAUAUUCCGACAAGCGCAUAUUGGCCCCUUUAGAGUCAAUGCCGAUAGAGAAGAGACUGACAAGAGACUUGUCCUCUUUGUUUAUGACAUAGAGACGGACUUGCAACUGAGCGAAACCAUCGUUGAUAGUGCUAGUGGCUGCAUCUUUACCACAUGUGAGGACACUCCGACCGGAAAGGUUCGUCAAUGACAACAUUAUAACAUUGUUUGCUGACUAUCUAUGGCAAGACCUAGAGGAGGCAAUAGUGUUUACUUUACAGCCUAUUUCUGUCGGAAGACGAUGCAGUGCAGUAAAGAGUUAUCUUCAAGACAUGUUGUCAAUGGUGUAAGUUUGAAGGAGUUAGGUGUGAGAAGAUUUUACAAUGACAUUCCUACAUGCAAAAAGGUAUGUCACGACAUAAAACAUUGGUACCUGUUGGUGGUGCGUCUUGAUGUCCAAAUAGCUGAAAUGUGGGAUAGCUUGGGAUGUAGCAGGAGACGGAAGAAUCAGUGCAAAACCGUUGUCAAUUGUUCAUGUUUUAUUCUAAACAAAACAAAAUGACUCUUAAGCCUUGUAUUCAGUUUAUGUUAUUGGGAUCGUGCCUAAUGUUUAAUGACUGUAGCUCCAAGGACUUGACAUGAUUUACAGAAGUGUGAAAUUCACUACGAAACCCUUCGGGCCGGAGGCAAAAAAGUUUGCAGACUUCACCCUCGAUGAGCCAGCUCAUUCCCCAAAACAGGAGGGUGGAGCUGAUUGUGGGAUUUUUACAAUCAAACACAUGCAGAACUAUGGAUCAGAGUGGUGGCAUAAGGUAACCAAAAUGUCUCUUUCAGUCUUACACUUAAAUUGUAUGGCAGGAUGGUACUUGAAUCUAAAAUGGACUUUCUAAAACAAUGUAGUUUGAUUCGCACACUAUUCGCAUGGAAUUAACCAUUGACUUGGUGAGGAGCAAAUUCAACAAGUGCUAGAAAUGGAUCAAGAAAACCAUCAACGCUCCCUAAUGUAAGUGGAUCGUAGGUCAUUUUUAGGCUUUUUAAUCCCUAAUGUAGAUCAGUACUGAUAGUUUUGUAGAUCAUGUGGGUUAUCAAGUUAACGCUUGACUGAACCAAGAACAAUGAUAUUGAUAUGGUGUUACAUGUUUCACGUAUUUUACGUACUGAUAUUGAUGUUACCUGUUUCACGUAUUUUACGUACUAAUAUUGGUGUUACCAGUAUAAUCACUUGUCAUGUAUAUUGGUGUACAUAUGAUACUGCACAAAAGUAAGAAAAAACAUCCAAGCAAUAAACUGGCCUGCACAACCCACUGCUGAACUUAGAUUACACUUUAUUAUGCCAACCACGAUAAUGACUCAGUCUCAUCUAAAUAGAGUAGUUACAUCCAUAGAGCACUUGCUUAGUGAAAAUCAUCAAUAUCUAGAGAGAAUUCAGGGUCUAAAGGCCACCACCAAUAGCCUGCUGGAGGGGAAUUGGAAUUCCUGUCUUCAAAGUGAUGCAUUUCAUGUUCCCAGUAGCACAAUCCACAACUGCAUCUCUUUACGUUGUUUGGUCCAACGUUGUACAAGUGUGCGAAAGUGCCGCAUGGUCUUUUAGUAACAUCGGCUAUAUGUGUGCAAAAUCCUUCUAUCGUAGCAGAACACUGAUGAGUUUGCAUGGGGUUGACUUCCUUCUCCAGAACAACUUGAUGCUCCACAUCUGGUUUGGGGCUUAGUUGGUGUUGGCUUGCUUCUUCGACAUCCACCAUAGCAUUUUUCAGAACAGCUUCAUGCUCCACAUAUGAUUCUUUUAGCAGGUUAGACAUCUUUCAACGAAAAGGUUGUGGUCACUGAAGCACUCUUAUAUACAAACGUAUUAGGUGGGAAUUGUGAUUUCAAAUUGGUUGAAAUUGAUAUCAAAUUUCAAAAGUAACCGCCAUCCACCAAACUGAAAAUUCUAACUUGUCCCAAACCAAAUUUUUCAAGUGCCGCCAUCCACCUCAAAUUUUACGGAUCACCAGCGUGUCUUCUGUCUCAGCCGUCAAUCCUAAACCCUACUUUUCAUCUGCAUCGCACAAGGUUGAGGAACCAUAAACAAUGCCCAUUGGCCCAAACCCGGAACCCUAACUUAAUGGGUUUAGAUCAACGGAGAUGGGAUAUUUCAAGGACGGGACCUUCCUUAUUUUACCUCAAAUGUAAUUCUUGGAAAUCUUCCAACGUAAGCACCUUCUAAGUAAAGAUAUUGUUUCCAAGUGUGACUCUUCAAUCUUAUACGUGCAUAUCACCAUAUCUCAUGUAAUCAUCAUCAGAUGCCAAUAGUAAGGAAUGUAAUCUCAGUUAUAUACUUCAAAGCAAUUAGGACCUCUUUGCAUGAUAUCCUUCCUUGAUCACGUCUUCUUAACUAGCAUGAAACACGUCCAUAUUGCCUUUUCCAUGAAAGAUCUUCCAUGCUGCUCAAUAUCGGUAACCAAACAAUCAUCCAUAAUAUUUCAAGGGGUGAGGUUGAGUCUACGUAGUCAUGAUUUGCCUAUACAAUUGCUCAUGAUUUAGGUAGACCUAUGUCAUACAACAAGUGGACUUAUUUUACAAUUUUUACAAUUUAUUUUCCUUAUUUUUUGGAAUUGGUAAGGUCAUGAUUUGCCUAUACAUUGCUCAUGAUUUAGGUAGACCUAUGUCAUCCAACAAGUGGACUUACCAAUUACCCAAGACGGCUGAUCAAACCCCAAGAUGUCUGAUCAAAGCCCAAGACGUCUUAUCGGUUAAAUCGAGUUGGUCACCGCAUUAUUAUUACCGCUUCGUAAACAAGCUUGACUAUUCGAAUGGGUAAGACUUAAUGCAACCUUGCCUUUUCACUUGCCUUAUAAUGUCACAUCUCGACCCUUAAAUUUUUUUACCUUAUUUACUAGCUUAGUAUUAAUAAGAAUUUUACCGUCUCCAUCAAUAAGUUAUGGUUUAAUUGGUCCCUAGAGGGGUUUUGAGGGACGAUUAUUUCGGAGAAUUAUUCGUAGGAGAAAAAUUUGACGACGGUAAAAAUGGUAAAUUUUAGCUAGUAAAAUGUAAUUUUUAUUAGGGUAUUAUUUUUUCGGGGUAUUUUAUUUUGGAGUGGGUUGGUAUAAGGGUGUUGGACCGGGUUGGUGUGAGGCCCAAACACCAUUUCUCCUCUCUCUCUCUUCUCCUCUCCCUCCUGACUUCUCUCCCGACCCGGAAACUUUCCGGCCGCCGUUUGCUGCAGCCCGCCGCACUGGUCUCGUUCGGUCGGCUUUUAACCCAGCUAUCUCCCUGGACCGGUGGCAGCUCCUCUAGCGCCGCUGUGAGGGAGUUCUCUCCCCCGAAAGCCCUGGCUGCCGUGAUGGUUUCCACGCCGGAGCUCCCUCCUUCGGCCACCAUAGCAGGAGCUGCUUGAGUCUUUUGGAAGCUCUCCUCCCGUGCAUCAAUCCCUCCAAAGGGCUCAACCUCUCUUGGUCUAGAUAAGGAGAACCGAUGAGUGGAAGUUCUGGGGCUUUUUGUGAUGUUUUUGUUCGAUUGACCUAGUUAGGCUUGGAAUUGGUGUUUGUGCUAGUUAGGAAAGUUGUAGAGGGGGCUGAGAGGAAGCUGUUGUUGAAUUUUGGUAGGCAUUGGAGGUCGCCGGAGUCGGCCUCCUGUCGCCGCUACCGGUGGAGCGAGCGGCGGCACCGCCACUGUUAAGGGGGUUUUCAUGGUUUUAAGUGUGUUAUAUUAAGGGGAGUUUAUUAGUAUGAAUUAUGGAAUUUUUGGAUGAGUUUUGGAUAGGUUUGUGAAUUUCCGAAGUUUGGUAAUUUUGGCGGAUUAAUAAGGUAGAAUCCGGCCGUUGGAUUAAAGUCGUAUAAUCUGUGGAAGGGUGUAGUUUAGGCUGCUGGUUUUAGUGUGGAGGUGUGGACCGAAUCGAAGUUAGGCAAUGAUGAGCGAGUAUGGGUCUCGGUUAAUUUUGCCUAUUUUGUUUAAAUAUUGGAUUUUUAGUUGGGAAAUUAAUUAUAUAUUUGUACCAGGGUUCGAGGAAACCUCACUGGAGUGGCGAUUUGGAUUUCGUCGGGCUUAUGCCUAGAGUUGUGAGAGGACCUUUGUUUUAAUUGAAAAGCAUGCGAUGAAGUAUUUUGUUGAUCAUUUAUUUCUUCUGAUGAGACUUAUUGAUUUCUCGGUUAUUUGGCAAUUUUUCCUCCUUUGGAGAGUUUCCCGAAAAUGAGAUUUUCGGUGGAUAUGUAUUUUGGAUGUUUAUGAGUAUAGCAUGUAUAUAAAUACUAGCUAGCCAUACGUGCUUGGUCCGUCAUAAUGAGGUAAAAUACCAUUAUGGCGUGACGUGAGUGUUAGACACAAGCGUCAUAAGCCUAUAUGAAAACUACUUUCUUUUCUGGUUUAUUCACGUUUUCAUAUACGGAGUCCACACGUAUAUAUACACCGUCCUCUUCGGUCAUAAUGAGGAAAAAUUCCAUUAUGGCGCGACGUGAGCGUUAGACCCAAGCGUCGUAGUCUUGUAUGAAUUUCUAUUUUUCUAAUUUGUUCAUAAAAUUCAUAUAAGGAGUCUGACGAGUGUAAAUACAUACACAUAUAUGUUUAUAUAUAGUUUAGCCUAAGAGGCUCCAUUUUAUUUGAGUUGGUGACUAGCCGGAGCUAGUCGUGAAAUUGCCAGUUUAUGAGUUGAGCGCUUUUGAGCGAUCGCAUGCAGUAUAAUUUCUUUGGAAAUUAAAAUGGGAAUGCAUAAAUAUUUUUAUUAAUUUAUUUUUGUCCACUCACUCGAACGUGUUUCAAAUGUUUUCCCCUAGGCUCUUCGUUUUAAAAAUGCCCAGUUUGCAGGAUUGAAUAGUUGAGGUCGGGCGUACAUAGAGAAGAGGUAUAGUCAAUAGUAUAGCUUCCGCUCAUUAUAUUUUUUUAGUUCAUCUCCUUUCAAAUAGAAUUGCUCUGAACUGUGGUUGUUGGUUAUGAGAUUAAAUUGUUAGAGUUAGUAAUUAAAUUGGGAGAUGUUGUGAUUUGGGGAGCACGAAGGCUCCAGGAGUAGAGGGUUGUAGAAGGAUUCUUUUGAAGUGUGUGCAGGUAUUUCUAGGAAGGGUCGUCCAUCUUCAAGAGAGGUUAUGUCGAUUUUUCGGUAAAUUUUCCUUGGAGGUGGUCCGCGUAGGAUUUACUUCGGGUUUCAGGGUGAAAUUCGGGGUGGGUCUUGACAUAUAACCUCCUUUGAGUGAAACUUUUCCACCAAACCGCUAUCACCCAGUUUCCAGCAAACCAGAUAGUACCUUUCAAGCCAAACUUGUCAAUGGCAAACACAGCUCCUUCUCUUCCUCUGUUCGUAGCCAAGGUAACAAAGCAGGGGUCAAUGUAACUGAAUUGGUACGAGUGCUCAUUAUCUCCGGUUGCAUUUUUUAAUUUUUUUACUAAACCAUCUACCAAUCAUAAUCAUUUGUUUGACGUUGCAGGAGAUACCCUGGUCAUUUUCCGACAAAUACAUGGUCGGUGAUGUCGAAAAAAAAGGUCUUAUCUACUUAGACGGUUAUCCGAAAGACUGGCCAUUUUCUGUGAAACGGGGUCAUGAGUGGGUUGAGUUGCGCAAGGGAUGGGGUGUAUUUGUGAACGAGGUUAUACAGAACAAUUCUGAGGCCUACCUUGUGGUGGAUUACAUGGGAGACAUGCAAUUCAAGGUUAGGGCAUUUUACUCGGAUGGAAACAUUGUCAUUGACGUUCCCCUUUGCUUGAGCCGUCUACCUGAGCAUGCCUUUGGAUUUUACAGAGUACCGAUUUUACAUAGGACCCCGUCCUGAAUUCUGUAGGGGUGCCACCCAUGCUUCUGAGCGCCCAAUGGUAACUUUCUUCAACUUUCACUAUUGCAUUGAAGUUCCAUUGUGGUUUGUCUUGAGAGUGUUCUUAUUAUUUUAUGCAUGUUAUUAUUAACAGAUCAAUGCUCACGGACCAUUCCACAAACAACUUCUUGAUGUCGGAAUGGGUCUGUUUGAGUUUCACCUAAAGGUGACGCCGACGAUUAAAACGGUCGUGCAGUUUACUCACACAAACAGAAACUAUAUUGAGUUCGGCACCGGGUGGAACACCUUUUUGGCGUUGUACGGGAUCCAAAGUGAAGAUUUCACUAUGCCAGAUAAUGCAUCACACGAUAGGGAAAAAGCAUCGUGUGUUAAAGGUCAAAUCCGUUGUUAAUCUGAUCGUUGUCUGAUCAACAUGUCAUACAACGGCUCUGACUAACUGACACACAACGCUACAAUAAAAACCAUUGUGUGAUUCUCGACAGAUAUCAUCGACAUAUGUUGAUGAAUUAUGUCGAGAAUCACACAAUAGUUUUUGUAGAAUAUUGUUGUGUGAUUCUCAGUAGAUAUUAUCGACAGAUGCCGACACAUGCCGAGCUACUUCUCGUCAGCUGUCGAUGAUAUAUGUCGAGAAUCACACAACAGGUUUUCCAAUAAAAACCCUUGUGUGAUUGUCAAGUCACACAACGGUUUCCUUUCAAGAGUUGUUGUGUGAAUAUCAAUAAAUUUCAUCGGCAUACGUCGAGAUCAUUCGGCAUUGUAGUCGGCAACAUUUGUCCACACUCACACAAUAGUUUUCUUGCUGUAAACUAUUGUGUGAAGUUAUCUUCAUACAACGAGUUUUAAGGUUUCAUGGUUGUCUGAUUGUUAAAUAGUACACAGAGUUUUUGCUAGUAGGUAUUGUGUGAUCAAUACUCACAUAACGUAUCAAUGUUAGAAUAUAGUUGUCGGAUCAUUUAGUCAGACAACAUUGGAUUGUCAUUAACUUGUUGUAUGAUGUUGCAUUUCAUACAACGUUGGAUUAUCAUCAUUUAGUUGUAUGAUGUGCUCCAUUGAUGCCCUAAUACCAAAUUUACCUAAUGAACAAUAUUACAAGUGAUAUUUCCAAACCAUCCAAAGCAUUGUUAACAUUCAAACAACCAAAAUAUGAUAUAAAGAAUCCAAUGCAUUGUUAACAUUAACAUGACAUGUAAAACAUAUGCCCAUCAUCCUAACAACCAUUAAAAAUAAGAAAAGCAUUCAAAUACAUGCCCAUCAACUAGGGACAUCAAAAGCUAGCUGAUACCUAGUAUCAAUUGUACUAAAAACAUGCCACAUAUCAUGCAUGAAUAUUGUACCAGCUGAGAAGCACAAAAAAGAUGUUUUCUCUGAACAAGAAGAUAAUACGUCAAUCACGGCUUACUUCACAUACUUCUUGACAGCAAAGUCUGCCCACUCAUUUCUCACCUCAUCCAAAUCUUCCUGAGUGUAUUUGCAGCUGCCUCUCUUGUCCCACUAAAUUAAACAAAGAACAAAAAUUAGAUAUAUAUAUAUAUAUAUAUCCAAUCAAGCCCCUAGAGGCAUAAGCUGUAUAUCUGCUAUCUCAAUCUAGAUAUACAUAUAAACCAGACACAACACUUGGUUUUUCAGUUAUCAUUGUAACUUAACACUGCUAUAUAUAUAUAUAUAUAUAUAUAUAUGAUAAACAUAAUAAACAUAUUAAUAAGAUCUGUUAGUUAAUCUGAGAUUGAUGAAGAUUCAAUGAACCAGACACUAAGAUCCAAAAAGGAACCAUUCCCACUUAUUCAACAAAACACCAAAAAUGAUAGAUCAAAACAAUAAGUUUACAACAUAAAUUCCAUUAGGCAACAAAUUAAUAAGAUCUGUUAGUUAAUCUGUGUAUCCAUACCAGCUAGCUGUCACCCUUUUAGGAAAAAUUAAAAUUAAUACCCGCAGUAAUGAUUGACUGACUUUGCUAACAAAGAUCAGAUCUCAGUCCUAUAAUGGAGAUAUCACUUCAAGUCAAAUACCAAUUCUAAUCAUUUCAUCAAGUCAGGGCACCAGAAUUAGCAGUAUAAUCUUCUGUUUAGUCUGUCUAUUUUGUAGUAUUUGAAUCAUUAAGUUGGUGGGAAAAAAUAAAACUAUUCUAGUCUCUGAUAUAUAGUACUGCUCCAUGGAACUCCAAAUAUAUAAUAAACAUAUUAUUAAUACUUAAGCUCUAUUGAAUGACUCUCCAAAAACAGAUUUUAUAUCUUGGCAACAAACCGUGACGUGUUUUUGUCUUCGAUUAUUUCCCUCAUGUAUCGCAUGACAUAGUAUCCACAUUCCUUGUCGCUUGGUUGGAAAGGCAUGCCCUAAAAACAAACCAUUACAAAACAAUUCCACACAACUAAGAUACACUGAGACAUCUACUACUUAAAAUGCAGAUGACACUCACAGCCAAAUUUUUAGGGAUCAUUGAGCUUCGUCCAUUCCUCUUUCUUGCAGUGUUAGCCAUAGCCAUUGCACUAAAGAAGACAAAAAAAAUAAAUGGAUGUAAGGGAGACUGUCACACCCCGGUUCUUAAGUUAUUUUUAUGGUUAUUUACUUUUGGUAUUACUUUGGUCUUUUACCGUUUUAAGAAACCGUUUAUUAUUUAAGACUCCAAAAGUUGACUUUUUCUUUCAUUUGGAAUUUGGGAAAACUUUCUUCAAGAAAGUCGUAGAGGACAUUAAUAUGAAUUCGUAGACAUGCUAUACGUUACAAUCGGAGUUAGCGUGAAAAAGUUAUCAAAUAAAAGGGUAAAUUUUGAGUUGGUAAAAAGGGGGGUAAAAAUUUAGUGGGUUUUAUUUUUUUGGUGGGUGUUUAAAUUGGACCGGGUAGGUGUGGAGAAGCCCAACACCCACCCACACUCUCUUUCUCUCUCUCUCCCUCUUUCUUCUCUCUCUCUCUCGUGAGAUCUUGGUAGGGAGAAAUGUAUAAUUGAAGUUCUAGGGUUCAAUUUAAGGUUUUGAUUUGAUUACCCUAGUUAGGCUUAGAAUUGAACUAAGUGCUAGUUAUGGAAGUUGUUGUGCGUAUUGAGAGGAUUGUUGUGUUAAAAUUUGGGAAGCAUUGGAGGUCGCCGGAGUACGGUUGCCGGCUGAGCAGGCGGCGGCGCCGCCCCUUAAAGGCAGUUUUUCAUGUUUUUGAGAUGGUUUUAAUGAAAGGGGUUUAAUGAAGUAAAGUUUGGAAAUUUUGGAGGAGUUUUGAUAAGGUUUGGGAUUUUCCAAUGAUUAAUGAUUUUGGCGGUGAUUAGAAUGAAAAUCUGUCCGUUGGAUUUCCUUGGUAUUUAUUCUAGAAUGUUAAAAUUGAUGAAUUGAGGUUUUGGUGGAGUUUGGCGUGAAUCCGACAAGCUUAACCCUAGUAAGAGUGGUGGAUUAAGUGGAAGAGAUUUGAGGGUUUAUAUUCAAGUAUUUAUUUUCCGGAAUUGAAGUUUGGUCCUAAGCAUAUUUAUUGUGCCAGGAUAUGAAGGGAACCUCGCUUGAGUGGUGAUGCGGAUAUCGUCGGGCUUAUGCCUAAAUCUGUGAGUGGACAUUUUGGUUUUAAAUAAAUAUGCAUGCAAGAUUUUUAUAAUUUAUUAUUUUAUUUUCCGAGCGUAUAUUAUAAUUUCGACUUAUGAAAUGAUCUUGGAAUUUAUUUGAGUUUGAUGCAUUGAUUAAGUGUUGGUCAUGAUUUAUGGAUUUGAGCUCGGAUUAUUAUUUUGAUAUUUGAGUUUGGAUAUUCUUUAUAAAUUCCGGAUUUUAUUAUAAUGAUUGUUUAAAUGGUAGACUUUGAGAUUUAUAAAAGAUUUCCGAAAAUAGGAUUUUCGGUAAUUCUCUUUUUAUAACUAUCUCAUUUAUUUGUGGAUUAUCAAUCUUGGCAUUGAGAAUCUUUUAGCGAGUAUUUUCGGAGGGAGGAAUUAUUUACAAUUUAUACUUGUUAAUUAAACUCGCUUAUAUUAUGGAUUUGAGAAUAUUUUGACGUGUGAGACACGUCAUUGAGUUUAUUUUAAUUUCUUAUGAUAAUUUCCAAGAACGGUUGGGAACCGUACCAUUCGUAUGAUCUUGAGGCAGUUUAAUGGAUUUAAAUGAUUUCGUAUGUUUUUAGUCACCAUAAUAUAGGGUUGCUUAUAUUGAUUAUUGCUAGCUAACCAUUAUUAGCGGUCCUCAUCAUAUGUGAGUUGAGCGCUUAGCGUGGGACGUUAUUAUAGCCUGAGAGGCAUCGACCCGAGACGUAGAGGCUCCUUUUACAUGGUGAUAAAUCUUCCCCUUAUUUUAUUCGUCUCAGUUAUGAAAUUAAUUGAUUAACCAGCGGGGCUGGUUUGUCUCUGCUUUCGAUAUUUUUGUAUAUGAUUUAUCAAAGUUUGCGUGCAGCUAAGUUUUUAAAGUUGUAAUUUGGGAAAGUAUUCAAAUUGCGUAUUUGUUAAAUUAUUUUGUCAACUCACUCUAACGUUUUUAAAUUACUUUCCCCUGGGCCCUUUGGUUUUAAAUGCCUGGUUUGCAGGCUAGGUAUUUGAGGUCGAGCGUACAUGGAUUCGAGGCAUAGUCAGAGGCUGCUUCCGUUUAAUCUUUAUUCAUUAUUAUUCUUUCAUUAUUAGAUAUGCUCUGGUAACCAGUUAGUGAAUUAUUUGUCUAUUGUUGGUUGUGGGAUUAUUUUAAAUGAGUAAUUGUUAUAUUGGGAGGUGAGAUGAACAUGGGGAGCAGGAAGGCUCCAGGUGUUGAGGCUGGUAUGUUUGGUUAUAGAAGUGUAAGUUGGAUUUUUUAGGUAAGGGUUGUCUAUUUUCAAGGAAGACUAUGUCGAAUUUUUGGUAAAUUCUUCUUGAAGGUGAACCCCGCAGGAUUUACCUUGGGUUUCAGGAUGAAAUUCGGGGUGGGUCCUGACAGUUGGUAUAUACAAGACAUCCCACUUCUUAUUACCUCAAUUUGCACAAUGAACAGUGGAACUUACUCUUUUACAAUCUUCGCCCAAUCUCCACAUGGUAUACGUCUUCUCGCAGGAUCCAUGAAGUAGACAGUGUCAUUAUCCGGAUCAACAACAGUCAACUCCAGUGAUCGCUACCACAUAAAAAAAUUUCAUAUACAAUAUUUAGCAAACAAUACCCGAGUACCAUUCCCACAGUUCAACCAUAAUUACUAAAACCAUUUAUUUAUACCAAAACUUGAAAACCAGCAUGGACUUACCCCGAGUUAUAUGGCAACAUGAACACUUGACCCGGUUUGGCAAUUGCAAGCCUUUUAGCUAUAUUUUUGGUCCUCUGAGUUCCAGUCCCAUACCCUACUGCACCAAUUUGGGAAGGGUGAACAAACACUACCAUGUCCACCAUUCUAUAAGCUUCCAACUUGCUGUAUAGGUACCUAACAACCAUACCAACACAUUAUCUUUCAGCAAAGCCUACUUAUCAAGAGAAUUACAAUAAAAUCACAAGCAAAAUAUGAUAUUGCAUAAUUUAUACCUCUGGUAAGAAGCAAUCAAGUUUCCAGUGACUUUUCCCAUGGUUGCAAUAACCACAACAUCCUUUUCGGUAAUAUAGCUGCUGCAAAUAUAUCCAAAUACUUCAGGUUCAAUGUUGGAACUGAGUUCUCGACCAUCCUUGAAUACGGUACAUAGUGUCUCAUAUGAUCUAGAUAACAUAGGUGCAAGUUGUCACAUCCCGACCCUUAAAUUUUUACCUUAUUUACUACCUUGGAAUUAAUAAGAAUUUUACCGUCUCCGUCAAUGAGUUAUGGUUUAAUUGGUCCCUAGAGGGGUUUUGGGGGACGUUUAUUUCGGAGGAAUUAUUCGUAAGAGAAAAGUGUGACGACGAUAAAAAUGGUAAAUUUUAGCUAGUAAAAGGUAAUUUUUAUUGGGGUAUUAUUUCGUGGUGUUUUUUUUGGAGUUGGGUUUAUUGUUUAGUGUGGGUAUUAAAUGUUGGACCGGUUUGGGGAGGCCCAAACCAUUUCUCUUUUCUCUUUUCUCUUCCUUCUCUUCUUUCCCGACUCUCCCUCUUCCUCUCGCACUGCUGGAAACCCCCGAGCUCCCAUCGCCGUCGUCCGGCCAAGAGGAGACGCCACACCGGUCCAGCUCAAUCUGUCUCCCUCACCACCGUCUUCCUAGGCUGGUGAGCGGCGCUGCAACGCCACCGAGCGGAGGAAGUCCUCCUUGGAAGCUCGGUGGUCUUCUCGCCGAAACUCUCUCCUCCGACCGCCAUAGCCAGCGAUUCUUGGCUCGUUUGGAAGCUCUCCUCCCAUGCAUCAAUCCCUCCAAAGGCUUCCCUCCCCCUUGGUAGGUAAGGAGAUUUUGGUGUUGGAAAUACUGGGGCUCAUUUGAUGUUUUUGUUCGAUUACCCUAUCUAGGCUUGGAAUUUGUGUUUGUGCUAGUUAGGAAAGUUGUAGAGGGGGUUGAGAGGAAGAUGCUGUUAAAUUUUGGUAGACAUUGGGGUUCCCGGAGUCGGCCGCCGGCCGCCACUGUUAGGGGGAUUUUCAUGGUUUCAAAUGUAUAAUAUUAAGGGGAGUUUAAUGACGUGAAGUGUUGAAUUUUUGGAGGAGUUUUGGAUAGGUUUGGGAUUUUUGAUAGAUUGGUGAAUUUAGCGGUUAAUGGGGUAAAAUCUGACCGUUGGAUUUUCUUUAUUAUUGUUUCAGAAUGUUGAAAUAAAGGAAAUAAGGCUGUGGUUGGAUUUUAACGUGAAUCUGAUAAGCUUAACCCUAGAAAAGGUAGUGGGUUAGGCGGAAGAGUUUUGGGUUAUAUAUUGAAGUAUUAUUUAUUCUGAAAUUGAAGUGUGGUCCUAAGCAUGGUUUUUGUGCCAGGAUUUGAGGAGAACUCACUUGAGUGGUGAUUUGGAUUUCGUCAGGCUUAUGCCUAGAGUUGUGAGUGGACUUUUGUUUUAAAUAAUGUGCAUGCAAAUGGUUUAUUGAUGAAUAAUUUCUUGUGUUGGAGAAUAACCGAAAUUGACAAUUUCGGUGAUUAUAUAUUCAUAUAUGGAUGAUUAUGAGGAUAGUAUGUAUAUAAAUAAAUCCUAGCUAGCUAUACGUGCUUUUCCGCCAUAUGAGGAAAAAUUCAAUGAUGGUGUGACGUGAGCGUUGGACGCAAUCGUUAUAGCCCUAUAUAAAUUUAGUAAUUUAUAUAGGGAACACGUAUAUAUACACUCAUGCUUUUCCGCCAUAAUGAGGUAAAAUUCCAUUAUGGUGUGACGUGAGCAUUAGACGCAAGCGUAGUAGCCUUGUAUGAAUUUCUAUUUUUCUUAUUCUUCAUAAGAAAUCAUACAAGGAGUAUGACGAGUUUAAAUACAUACAUAUAUAUAUAUGUAGUUUAGGCUGAGAGGCUGUAUUUUAUUGAGUUUUGGAGACUAGCCGGAGCUAGUUAUGUAAUUGUCAAUUGAUGAGUUGAGAGCUUUUGAGUUGUCGCAUACAGUAUAUUUUCUAUGGAAAUUUAAAUUGGAAAAGCAUAAGUAUUUUUCAUUAAAUUGAUUUUUGUCCACUCACUCUAACAUUUUCAAAUGUUUUCCCCUGGGCCCUUCGCUUUUAAAAUGCCCAGUAUGCAGGUUAGGAUAGUUGAGGUCGGGCGUACAAGGAGAAGAGGCAUAGUCAAUAGUAUAGCUUCCGCUCAUUUUUAUAUUUCUAGUUCUUUUCCUCUCAAAUAGAGUUGCUUUGAACUAUGGUUGUUGAUUAUGAGAUUUUCUUUUUAAAGUUAGUAAAUAAAUUGGGAGAUGUUGUGAUUUGGGGAGCAUGAAGGCUCUAGGAGUUAGAGUUCAAUUGCGAGUUGGGAACUCCAUGUCACAUCCCGACCCGUAAAUUUUUACCUUAUUUACUAGCUUGGUUAUAAUAAGAAUUUUAUCGUCUGCGUCAUUGAGGUUAUAGUUUAAAUGGUCCCUAAAUGGUUUGGGGGACGGGUAUUUUCGGAGGAUUGUAAAUUUUAGCUAGUAAAAGGUAAUUUUUAUUAGGAUAUUAUUUUUUUGGGGUGUUUUAUUUUGGAGUUGGUGUGGGUAUAUAGGUGUUGGACCAGUUUGGAGAGGCCCAAACCCAUCUCCCUCUCUUUCUUUUCUCUUUCUCUCUCCCAGUUUUCCUCCCGAGCCAUCACCCUGCCGGAACUUCAACCCGACCAUUCGCCGCCGUCCGGCCACCACCUGCCGCCGCACCGGUCCCGUUCGGUCGGCCUCCAACCCGGCCAGCUUCUAUUCUAGGCCGGUGAGAGCCUCCCUAGCUCCGCCGUGAAGGAGUUCUCACCCCCAAAAGGUCCGGUUGUCGUGGUGGUUUUCUCGCCGGAACUUCCUCCUUCGGCCGCCAAAGUCGGCGAUCCUUGGCUCAAAAGAAAACUCCCCUCCCGUGCAGCAACCCCUCCAAAGGGCUCACUCUCUCUUAAGCUAGGUAAGGAGAAAUGUGGAUUUGAAUUUUCUAGGGCUUCUAGGAUGUUUUUGCUCGAUUGACCUAGUUAGGCUUGGAAUUGGUGUUUGUGCUAGUUAGGAAUUUUGUAGAGGGAGUUGAGACAAAGAUGCUGUCAAAAAUUGAUAGGCAUUGGAGGUCGCUGGAGUCGGCCUCCGGCCGCUGCUGUGAGGGAGAUUUUUAUGGUUUUAAAUGUGGAAUAUUUAGGGGAGUUUAUUGUUUUGAAUUAUGGAAUUUUUGGAUGAGUUUUGGAUAGGUUUGGGAAUUUCCGAAGUUUGGUAAUUUUGGCUGAUUAAUAAGGUAGAAUCCUGCCGUUUGAUUAAAGUCGUAUAAUCUGUGGAAGGGUAUAGUUAAGGCUGCUGGUUUUAGUGUUGAGGUGUGGACCGUAUCGAAGUUAGGCAAUGAUGAGCGUGAGUAUGGCUCUCGGUUAAUUUUGCCUAUUUUGUUUAAAUAUUGGAUUUUUAGUUGGGAAAUUAAUUUUACAUUUGGAAACAGAAACAGGACGUGAGGAGGCUCAAGCAGAAGAGACCUCGGAUCGACGUCAGGCUUAGGCCUAAAGUUGUGAGUGGACCUUUGUUUUAAUUUAAAAGCAUGCGAUGAAUUAUUUUGUUGAUCAUUUAUUUCUUCUGAUGAGACUUAUUGAUUUCUCGGUUAUUUGGCAAUUUUUCCUCCUUUGGAGAGUUCCCGAAAAUGAGAUUUUCGGUGGAUAUGUUUAUUGGAUGUUAUGAGUAUAGUAUUUAUAUAAAUGCUAGCUAGCCAUACGUGCUUGCUCCGUCAUAAUGAGGUAAAAUACCAUUAUGGCGUGACGUGAGUGUUAGACACAAGCGUCAUAGCCCUAUAUGAAAACUACUUUCUUUUCUGGUUUAUUUAGGUUUUCAUAUAGGGAGUCCACCUGUAUAUAUACACCGUCCUCUUUGGUCAUAAUGAGGAAAAAUUCCAUUAUGGCGCGACGUGAGCGUUAGACGCAAGCGUCGUAGCCUUGUAUGAAUUUCUAUUUUUUUCUAAUUUGUUCAUAGAAUUCAUACAAGGAGUCUGACGAGUGUAAAUACAUACACAUAUGUGUUUAUAUAUAGUUUAGCCUGAGAGGCUCCAUUUUAUUGAGUUUGGAGACUAGCCGGAGCUAGUCAUGUUUUGGCCAAUGUGUGAGUAGAAAGCUUUGAGCUGUCGCAUGCAGCAUAAUUUCUAUGGAAAUUAAAUCGAGAAAGCAUAAAGAUUUAUUUCUUUUCAAAUUUAUUGUUGUCCACUCACUCUAACGUUUUCAAAUGUUUUCCCCUGGGCCUUUCGUUUUAAAAAUGCCCAGCUUGCAGGUUAGCUUAGUUGAGGUCGGGCGUACAUACAGAUGAGGCAUAAUGAUCAUAUAGCUUCCGCUUGUUAAUUUAUUAUGUUUCAUUUCUUCUUAUUAGAGUUGCUCUAAACCUAUAAAGGGUUGGAUAUGACAUUUGUUUAGAUUAGUAAUUAAUUUGGGUGGUGUUGUGAUUUGGGGAGCACGAAGGCUCCAGGAGUUUAAGGUUGGAUUUAAAUUUUCAGAAGUGUUUGCAGGUUUUAUUAGGAAGGGUUGUCCAUUUUCAAGGGAGGUUAUGUCGAAUUUUCGGUAAACUUUCUUUGGAGGUGGUGGUGGUCCCCGCAGAAUUUACUUCGGGUUUCGGGGUGAAAUUCGGGGUGGGUCCUGACACUCUAGUUGGGAACUCAUAUGUGUGGCAGCAUUCCUUUCAUUUGACCAAUGAUUGAUUGGGUUAUGAUUAAGAUGCUAGGGUGAGCAUCUCGUGCAAAUUUGUAGAAGGUGAAAAGUUUAAUUCAAGCCUUGGAUUUCACUAAUUAUAGUGGGCAAGUGUGAAGUUGUUGUAGUUCGAUAGAAAAUCUUGGCUUCGAGUUACGUGAUUUCUGAGAGAAAAUAUAGUUGGAAAGAAAAUUCGAAGUAGUGGUGUAUUCUUUUUAUGUUAAAGUUAAUUGAAGUGUUAUGGUGGGGUACCUAUAGUAACUCUUAGAGGUACAUUUAUGAGUUGUUGCGGACGCUAAGCUUGAGCGAUUUAGUCACGUGGGAAUUGUGGCUAGUGUUUGAGUUGCAAGGCAUUGCUACAUAAAAAGCUAAAUGUCAAUUUAGAUAAGUCAUGAUUGAAAGCCAAUUUACCGACUAUUUUUAUCAGCAACAGCAAGCAGUUGGGAACAUUUUGGGAUAAUGCUGGUUAUGUCAGCACAUAUUAUGGUUCCUACAACUCUAAUUAUGGAUAAGUUUUUAUCUUUUGAGCAAUUUAUUAAGAUGGUGGUGGUAAAUAUCUCUUGGAAAUGACGGAUAAUAGUAGUCGAUGAAUAGUAAGAUUUCUGAUGAUUUUGGUCUCUAUUGUGGGUUAAUUGAAGUUUGUUAAAGCACUAAGUGUAAUGACUUGGAUUGCUUUUCCUUGGGUUGGCUUUACAUAAGUCAUUGGUCAGUGUGUUGUGACAACUUGUUGUUGUGCCACAGUUGGGAAAUUUUAGAAAUUAAAAUGUAGCGCUAAAUGUUUUGAGUUUCAAGCACGUUUGGAAUAGUGGAGUGAGAUGUCAGUCAUAUUAUUUUAAUCGUGGGGCCAUUUUGGAUUCUUUCGGAAUUCUAGGUGUUGAAGUUUGGUUUCUAGUUUUGUUGAGGGUUUUGGGAAGAUGAUAAAUUUAGAUGGAAUUGAAAAGUAAUAGUGGAGUGAGAGCGGGAUGGUUGUGGUCACUCCAAUUUUACGACAACACCUGGUGAAUUUAUUAUGUGUUAUCAUGGGUAUUCUAUAGCAGUUGUGUGGAGUUGGUGGAAGUGGUAGCAGUGGAAUAAUACCCACUGGAUCAUGGAGCAAGAGUGCGUGGGUGUCCAAAGUAAUUUUUUUAAGCAGUGUCGUUCCAUGUGGUUGAUAUAAGUCUUAAAUUUGUGAUCGAAGUUGGUUUAUUGACAUCACUUUGUUAGCUUUUGGUGACUAUCUACGACACAUCAAUGGGAGGAUCUGUUCACUCACCUUAUAUCUAAUUCGGUGAUGUGGAGCAGAGUUUUGGUUGUUGUGUGUGUGGGAAUAUAUAAAUUAUUCUUGCUGUAGUUUUUGGGUAGCAUCCUCAGAGCUUGAAUUUAGGAAGUGCGAAUUCAAACUCUUUGAUUUGAAGGUUAGAGAUUCUGGUUAGUUUGUCGAAUUUUUUUUAGGCAAAUGAUAAAUUGGUUGUUGUGUCAUAGACAUGGAUCAUGGGUAAAUCCAGUCGUGAUCCCAAGUGAGCUGGGGUUCGAUUAAGCGAAGAACCAUGGAGCCGUAAGUUCUAUGUGGUAAUCUGGAAGUUGCGUUGAUGUGCUGAAUUUAUGGUUUGUGUGAUAUUGUGGGUGUGAUUUAUGUUGUACCUUUAGGGGAGAAGGUUUUCCCCUGUUGACUCAAGAAGCUUUUCGAGUCAAAGUUUAUUAAGAGAUUUAAUAUGACGAAUAGUAGAUAUAUGGAUAGGUUGAACGACGUCUCUUCUCGGGAUCGUAUUGUGGUGGGACCACUUAUUGAUUCAAGUUUGAUUUGGGAGGUCUUGGCUAUUUGGUUGUGUGUUCAUCCGUUGGUGUCAGAGGGAUUAGUUGAAACCACUAUUAAAUGUUGGUUUCUAGUGCGUUUUCGAAAUGAGUUCUAGUGGACGUCGGUGAUUUGAGGAGCUUUUGAGCUCGAAGUUGUGGGACUUGUCUUUCAUGAAUUUUAAGUUAUUUAUUCUGUUGCUUGCGCUGAGAUUAGCCAUGAGCCUUGAUUCUUACUUGAACUUAUAGUUUUCGUUGGAUGGUGAACCACAAAGUGUAGUAGUGGGCCUAUUACGGAAAUUAAUUUUUAUAUUCGAUGGUUAACUUGUUGCUGCAAACUCGGUUAUCAGAGAAACUUUUUGGUGGGGAGCCGUGGCGCCUAGAAGGUGUAGGAGACUUGAGCAUAUCUGAUUUUCAGAUCGUAUUCUGCUAUCAGAUUAAUUGUUAUUAGAGGUAGAAAAAGAUGUGUGUUUGUCGGGUCCAAAGGUUUUGGCAUUUAGAAUCAUUCAUGUGGAACGGCUAGAGUGAGCCGUGUGCUUUUAAUUGUUGCACUUGGGGUCGCGGUUGCACCCGAAUAAGUAGCAUGGCUGGAGAUGUAUGUGGAUUUCAACGUCAAGUUUAGCAUUAUGAAUUGACUGUGCCAAUUUUCGUGGGCAUUAUUAGUCAGUUUUUGCUUAUGGCGAGCAAGGAGGAAUAUCCAAUUUCCACAUGAUAGUCAUGUUUCAAAUUAUCUUCUGGUUUAAGGUAAAGAGAUUAGUGGAGAUAGCAGAAUGAGGAGAGAGUUGGAAUUCCCAUAAGCUGCUAGUUUGUGGUGCUCAAAAUGGUAAUGUAAUAGUUUUGGUGGAGAGACCUAAGUGACGUAGUAUUAAUCUCUACAUAAUGUCAUUUCGAGAAUCGAGGUUAUCAUAUGUUGGUGGACUGGUCACUUAGGCAGAGCAAGGUUGUCUUGUAGACUUGCGAGCGCUUUGACUCCGCGAAAGACUCUACGAAGUGUCUCGGUAUUAGAAGUGAUUGUUGCAGUUCUGCAGUGUGUGCAUCCUUAAAUAUGUUCAAUUAGCAGGUCUUAAUUUUGACCCCUAUGAGCAAGUGGGAAUGCGUGAACUUUAGUUUCCUAGCAAGUGGGCUUCAUUGUCGAGUUGUGAGCAGUGUAAUGACGAGGUUGUUGCAUGACGUUAGGAGAUUUGAGCCCGAUGGUGAUAGCAAAUUUAUGUGUUUUAUUCGGGUUAACUAUUUCCAUUGCUCAGGAAAGGUGUGCAUACCUACGGGUACUCGUACUCUAAAACAUGUAUCACUGAACUCACUUACGUGUAAACGUUAGUGGUAGUUCAACGAAGGAUUUAGAGUCUUUGAGAAGAUUUAAAAUAAUUCAAGAUACAAAUGAAAAGGUUAAAGGAGUCAGAGAUAGACUCAAAGUAGCUCAAAGUAGCCAAAAGAGUAAUAAAGAUGUCCGCAGGAAGGACCAUGAGUUUCAAGUGAGUGUUUGGGUGUUUUCGAAAUUAUCUCUGUCACACCCCGUUUCUUAAGUUAUUUUACUGUUAUUUACUUUGGUAUUAUUUUAGUCUUUUACCGUGUUAAGUAACCGUUUAUCACUUAAGGACCCUAGAGUUGACUUUUUCUUGCGUUUGGAAUUUGGGAAAACUUUCUUCAUGAAAAUCGUAGAGGACGUUAUUACGAGUUCGUAGACAUGCUAUGUGUUAAAAUCGGAGUUAGCAUGAAAAAGUUAAGAUUUAAAAGAGUAAUUUUUGAGAUGGUAAAAAAAUUUAGUGGGUGUAAUUUUCAGUUGGGUUUUAUUCCUGGGCCAGCUGUGGAGCAGCCCAAGACCCACACCCCCCCCCCCCCUCAUUUUCUCUCUUCUCCUCUUCCUUCUCUCUCUUUCUCCCGUGAGUCUCCCCGAGCCUUCUUUUCUGCUGGAUUUUCCCAGCGUGGCCGGCCACCGUCUGGCCAGCCACCAGCUGUCAGCCCACCCCAGUUUUGACCCCCAUCACCUCCUCUCUCUCCCCGGCCUAGCCCCCGAGCCGUUAGCCCGCCAGAAGAGGAGAAAACUCGCCGGAGAUGCCGGGAAGCUUUUUGCCGGAAAUCCCACCUCCGGCCACCAUAGGUCGGAAUCUUUGGCUCAUCUUGUAGCCCUCAUCAAGGUGAGUAUUCUCUCAGAAGGAAUUAGUCUAUUCCGUUGUUGUUACGGAGAAAUGUAUAAUUGAAGUUUUUAGGGAUUUAUGGAAGUUUUGAUAUGUUUGCCCUAGUUAGCCUUAGAAAUGGACUAAGUGCUAGUUAUGAAUGUUGUUGAGCAUGAUGAGAGGAAUAUUCUGUGAAAAUUUGAGAAGCAUUGUCUCUCGCCGGAAUCGCCGGAAUCCGGCUGCCGGCCGCCGCCCCUUAGGGGCAGUUGUUCAUGAUUUUGGGUUUGUUUUAAUGAUAGGAGUUUAAUGAAGUAUAGUUGGGAAUAUUUGGAGGAGAUUUGGUAAGGUUUGGGAUUUAUCAAUGAUAAAGGAUUUAGGCGGUUAUUCGAAUGGAAAUCCGGCAGUUGGUUUAGCAGGUUUUAAAGUCUAAAAAGGUUAAAUUAUGGCUUUCGAUAAGUGCAGAGUAAUGUGAGCCUUAUUAGGUAAAAUGUGGAGAAGUUGGGCAAGAGAAAUGAAAUUAUAGGCUUCCUUUUUAUUUCGGAAAUUUUAUUAAAGUUUUGUCCUGGUUUAGAGGCUUAAUGAUUAUUUAUUGUUCAGGACAUGAGGAGGAAGCCUCGGGCCGUCGGCAAGCAUAGCCAAGCAUUGUGAGUGGACCUUUGAUUUUAAUAUCAUGCAUGCACUAAAGUUAUUUAAUUUCACAGGCAUUUGGAGAUAUAAUAUUUUGUUGGAUUAUCGAGUUCCACUUAUUUUUCCGGAACUCUCUUGCUAAUUUUAGUUGACACGUGGGACGUGUCAAGUGUUUUAUAUUAUUUCCAUGUACAGUUGGGAACUGUACUGUGCGCUAUGAGUUUAUUAUAAUUUAUUUGGGGAAGUGUGGAUCAUUUUAUUUUAAUAUUGUACUUCACCAUAAAAGGGUUGAUAUAUAGAUUAUUGCUAGCUAACCAUUAUUUAGCGGUCCUCAUCAUAUGAAAGUUGAGCGCUUAGCGUGGGACGCUAUUAUAACUUUAUAAGCGGUCCUCAUCAUAUGUGAGUAGACCGCUUAGCGUGGGACGCUAUUAUAGCCUGGGAGGCUUAUUGUUAUGGUGAAACCUCUUCCCUGUUCUUAUUGAUUUAUUGGGAACCAAUGGGAUUGGUUCAUUAGUUUUGUCUAUAAUUAUUUUCGGAAAAAUUUCUAAGAAUGGCAUGCAUAAAUAUUUUCUCAACGGAAAAUAUGGGAAAAGCAUUAAAUUGAUUUCAAUGCUCUAUCAUUAAGUCAGUAUUUUUAUUAUUUAUUUUGUCCACUCACUCUAAUGUUUUAAAUGCUUUCCCCUGAGCCUUUCGUUUUAAAUGCCCAGUCUGCAGAGUUCUGUUCAGCGAGGGUAAGAGGCGAGUCAUAUUUCCCACCUCAUCCAGUUUUCUCUCAUAGGUUACUAGUUAACCUACCUAUGUAUUUCUUUCUUUCCUAGUAGAUGCUCUGAAUAACCAUAGGAUGUUUUAAGUGAUAUUAAGAUUGUUUUCAUUGUGGUUGUGUGCUAAGAGCUUAUGACUCCUCUAAUGAGUGAUGAAAAAGACAUAUUUGGUAUGUUUGUAUGAGAGAUUAAAUUCAUGAAAUUAUUUCGAUUUAUUAUGUUAGUUGAGGUGGUGGAUGUUUAUUUGAGGGAGCGGAUGGCUCCAGAAGAUGUGGAUUAAAUUGUUUUAGAAGUGUUUGGGCUUUGGUGAUUUUUUUCCAGGUAGGGUUACUCAUUUUCAAGGGAGGUUAUGCCAAAAUUUUGGUAGAAUUUCUCUUGAGGUGGGUCCCGCAGAGUUUAUUCCGGAUUUCAAGGGGAAAUCCGGUGUAGGUCCUGACAAUCUCCUUAGAAAGGGGUAGUACGUUUUGGUAACGUGGAAAGCUUGGUUCGAGAUAUAUUGGUCCGAAUGUAUUGGUCCUUAUGAGAUUAUAAAGCGAGUCGGUUCACUUGUUUAUCGGUUAGUUUUGCCUCCUGAAUUAUCCAGGAUACAUAAUGUGUUUCAUGUAUCCAUGUUUCGCGAGUAUAUUGCCGAUCCCUCUCAAGUGUUGCAAGAGCAGCCGAUUAAUUUGAAGAAAAAUUUGACCUUUGAUGAGGAGCUGGUUCAAAUUCUUGACCAAAAGAAGCAAGUGCUUAGAAGCAAAUCAUUUUCCUCUUGUUAAAGUUCUGUGGAGGAGUCAUCAAGUAGAGGAAGCUAUUUGGGAAUCAGAGGAGCAAAUGAGGUAGCAGUAUCCUUAUUUCUUUGAUUGUCAGGUAUGUAAAUUUCAAGGAUGAAAUUUUUAUAAGGAAGGGAGAAUUGUCAUAUCCCGACAUUUAAAUUUUUAGCUUAUUUACUAGCUUGGUAUUAAUAAGAAUUUUACCGUCUCCGUCAAUGAGUUAUGGUUUAAUUGGUCCCUAUACCUAGAGGGGUUUUGGUGAAUUUUGCCGUUAAUGGGCUAGAAUCCGACCGUUGAAUUUUCUUUAUUAUUGUUUUAGAAUGUUGAAAUAAAGGAAAUAAGGCUGUGGUUGGAUUUUGGCGUGAAUCCGAUAAGCUUAACCCUAGAAAGGGUAGUGGGUUAGGCGGAAAAGUUUUGGGUUAUAUAUUUAAGUAUUAUUUAUUCUGAAAUUGAAGUGUGGUCCUAAGCAUAGUUUUUGUGCCAUAAUUUGAGGAGAACUCACUUGAGUGGCGAUUUGGAUUUCGCCGGGCUUAUGCCUAGAGUUGUGAGUGGACUUUUGUUUUAAAUAAUGUGCAUGCAAAUGGUUUAUUGAUGAAUAAUUUCUUGUGUUGGAGAACAACCGAAAUUGAGAAUUUCGGUGAUUAUAUAUUCAUAUAUGGAUGAUGAUGAGGAUAGUAUGUAUAUAAAUAAAUGCUAGCUAGAUAUACGUGCUUUUCCGUCAUAAUGAGGUAAAAUUCCAUUAUGGUGUGACGUGAGCGUUGGACGCAAUCGUCGUAGCCCUAUAUAAAUUUAGUAAUUUAUAUAGGGAAUAUGCACGUAUAUAUACACUCGUGUUUUUCCGCCAUAAUGAGGUAAAAUUCCAUUAUGGUGUGACGUGAGAGUUAGACGCAAGCGUAGUAGCUUUGUAUGAAUUUCUAUUUUUCUUAUUCUUCAAAAAAAAUCAUACAAAGAGUAUGACGAGUGUAAAUAUAUACAUAUAUAUAUAGUUUAGCCUGAGAGGCUGUAUUUUAUUGAGUUUUGGAGACUAGCCGGAGCUAGUUAUGUAAUUGUCAAUUGAUGAGUUGAGAGCUUUUAAAAGCUGUCGCAUGCAGCAUAUUUUCUAUGGAAAUUUAAAUUGGGAAAGCAUAAAUAUUUUUCAUUAAAUUCAUUUUUGUCCACUCACUCUAACAUUUUCAAAUGUUUUCCCCUGAGCGUUUCGUGUUUAAAAUGCCCAGUAUGCUGGUUAGCAUAGUUGAGGUCGGGCGUACAUGGAGAAGAGGCAUAGUCAAUAGUAUAGCUUCUGCUCAUUUUUAUAUUUCUAGUUCCUUUCCUCUCAAAUAGAGUUGCUCUGAACUAUGAUUGUUGGUUAUAAGAUUUUCUUUUUAAAGUUAGUAAAUAAAUUGGGAGAUGUUGUGAUUUGGGGAGCACGAAGGCUCUAGGUGUUUAAGGUUGGAUUUGGAUUUUCAGAAGUGUAUGCUGGUAUUAUUAGGAAGGGUUGUCUAUUUUCAAGGGAGAUUAUGCCGACUUUUUGGUAAAUUUUUCCUUGGAGGUGGUCCCCGCAGGAUUUACUUCGGGUUUCAGGGUGAAAUUCGGGGUGGGUCAUGACAGUUGGUGUCAGAGUAUUAGGUUAUUUGAUUCCUUUCUCUUUUUAGUACUACCUUAUAUUUUUGGUCAUACUUAGUGUCUAUAGAGUGAUGGUCCGACCGUGGCGGAUCCAUUAGCAUAUUAUGCUUUAGACACUAUGUGUUGAUUAGGUUUGUAAUGUAGUUAUUCUUGUCUUAUUUAUGGACAAUAUUGUGCCAUAAAUGUCCAUAUCUCUAAGACUAUGCCUCCGUACACCGACCUCUUAAGUAAAUCAUUAUGCUUUGAGUAUUGAAAAGGUGUAUGGAUUAUGCCUUUUCCCAAGGGUUAUUGAGUUGAUAUCAUAAAUUGUUAUAUUUCUUGUUCCUUUCCUCUCAAAUAGAGUUGCUUAGAACUGUGGUUGUUGGUUAUGAGAUUUUCUUUUUAAAGUUUGUACAUAAAUUGGGAGAUGUUGUGAUUUGGGGAGCACGAAGGCUCCAGGAGUUUAAGGUUGGAUUUGGAUUUUUAAAAGUGUAUGCAGGUAUUAUUAGGAAGGGUUGUCCAUUUUCAAGGGUGAUUAUGCCGAAUUUUUGGUAAAUUUUUCCUUUGAGGUGGUCCCUGCAGGAUUUAUUUUGGGUUUCAGGGUGAAAUUCGGGGUGGGUCUUGACACAAGUUCUGCCAAGGUCACAUCAGCCUCCUCCAUUUGGACAGCUAGUUCUAGACAUUUUCUCUUCUUCUUAGAGACUUUAUCCACCACAGAUUUCUAGAAUAAGAAGAUAUAAAUAAUGUAUGAUUACUACAAUCAAGGAAAUACGAAUAUUUAUUAAACAAGUCAGAGGUUCAAAGUAUAAACACUUGUACUAAACUUUUACCUCAUUUGGCAAUAUGAUCAAGUCCUUCGGCCAGGCUACCCAACUCCUCAUUGCAUGCUUAACAGUAACAAUUUCAUCUUCAACAGGAAAAGGGACCUUCGCUUUUUCAUCAAUCGCAUAGUACACAGAAAUACGCCUAUUGUCAUUCCCUAAUGGUCUUCCAUGAAUGACUGCCUUAAGAUCAUCACCUGAUUCUAUUAUUGUGGCAUGAGCAACAAUGUUAUCCACUGAACCCACAGCCAACUUGCAAUCAAUCUCAGGGUCUCCAACCCUAUAAGUCUACUUCUUUUUCUCAAGGACAUUAACAGACUUAGAAGCCUUGUUUUUCUUAGGGUAUUCAACUGACUCAGAAUUCUUCUCUUCCUCAAGGGCAUCAACUGAUUCCAAUUUCUUCUUCUUGCGUCCUUGCAAUCUUAUUCAAAACACCCUUAUUAACUGCUUCCUUUACAGGCUUUGCUUGUUCCUUUUCCUCUUGGGGAGGCACUACUUGUUCCUUUUCCUUUGGGGGCAGAGGGAGUUCAUUUUCUUUUUCUUGAAAUAACGAUUUUUGGCGUGUAUUUUCAGCUUCCAGGUUUGGUACCGAAACACCCUCCUCCAUUGUGUGUGAACUUCCUUGACCAAAAAGAAGUGUACUAUGCUUAAUGCCAGCCCUAAAAUGUCCUGCUAGCAAGUUUGCUGUGAACUCUUCAAACUUUGCCUCCUAACGCUUUGCCUCUUCUGCCUCAAUUUCUUCCCUUAUUUCCUCCCUUAGUUGCUCCUUUGCUUCCUUCAAUAUCACUGGUUUUGCUUCCUCUAUUAUCUUUUUACUGUCCUCAUGCAUUAUCUUUCUCAUCCUUGCUUCAAAGUUCUGCUUCCUAAGAUUUGGCAGUCCAAAGUACUCAUGCGGAGUAAUAUGACCUCCCACUCCACGCACUUGACCACUGUGCUCAGGGGUCUCCAACGCCUAAGUCAGAAUAUCAUUCAUACCCGCAACGGUCCUUUUUCCUUCAUCAACCUCUUUUCUAACUUCAGCCUGACAACAAGAGUUACCAAUGUAAGCAAUAGAAUAACAUUUAAAAGCUGCACACAUACAAUUCAAACGACUAAGAACUUACCACUCUUUCAACAACCUUUUUUGUCUCUUCAUCUGGUAUUUCCCCCUCCUUUGGAAUACGCCCUCGGACCCAAGUUAUAUCUCUAUCAAUUUCUCCUUCACUUGGAACCAAGCCUACACUUUCUUCACCUAGUUCCUCAAUCUACAAAAAUGGAUUUUUGAAUUAGAACACUAUCACAAGCACAAAACAAAACACAUCUUGACUAUCUAAUGUUAAUUUACUAACCACUUCUUCUUCCACUCCUAUAUAACCCUUACAGGACAUUCUAUGUGGAUACUUGUUCUUCUUACGCCUUUUUUGUUGUUGUUCACAUUUUGCCUGCAAAAUCCACCACUCACUUAAAAAAAUCCAUGAUAUGGCAAAUCAGAUCUACUACUAAGUUGAAACAAAUUAUGGUAUUAAAAAUAGCUUUCAUACCAAGAAUUCAGGCGUUGUCCGUGACUUGACAAAUAUAGUCCAAUGAUCAGGCGGUAUGAAAGGAUAAUCAUUAGGAGGAAACUUCAGCUUUUCAGGGGAAUCAAGGUAGGGGAUGAUGUAUUUUGAAGUAAGGCGAGACUUGAACUCCCUCCACUUAGUUGAUGCAGAUUGCAUAAUCCUCUUCCUAUGUUCUUCAUCGAUUAUGAAUGGAAGCUGUGUAGUUAAAAUACAAAUGAGUAUGAAACUCUGAUCCACUAAACAGAAUUGGAAGUAAUUCAGUUCAAAAGUUAACAGAAAAAUAAACCACUCAGUACCUGAAGACGUUUCCAUAUUUUAGCUCUGGCAUCCUUUGUUACCCCUUUCCAGGUUUUUAUUAUAAUUGGCACUUUCCUUCGUGCCAAUACUCCCAAGUACGACUACAUUUUCUUAGCCACCUUCCCAUAGGGAGUGCCUCUUUUGUUGAACAACACCAUCCUUUUCAUUUUUCUCUUAUGCUUAGUAAUGCUUGACAUAGUCACUGCAUGCCUUUUCAACAGCUCAAGACCCCCGGUUGGUUCAGCUUCUUUCUUCUUGGACUUGCCCGUCCUCGAGCAACUUGCAUCUGAAGUUCUUGUUGAUGUAGAAGACUUCAAGGACUUUGUCUUCUUGACCUUGAGUCGCUUCUCUUUACUCUUUGACUUGCCUGCUUCGUUUGCAGAUUUCAAAGAUGUCAUAUCUGCACAAAGACAAGUCACAUAGACAAUAAGCACUUAUGCAAUUAAUAUGAAAGUGGAAUCAAGCACUGAUCAUAAGUAACUCAUUACACACUUUAUUAGAAUUAGAAAAAUAAAUCUCCAUAAAAAAAAUAAAUUAACCUCAGUCAAAUAAAUCACUAAGAAAAUACUCAAAACAGAUGAGCAUUAAUCAAAAUAACCAACCAUCAUAUAUCACUAUCAUCCAAAAGAUAACAAUUUAAGUUACUCAUUACAUAAUCAAAACAGUAAGACUCAACACCCUGGAAAUAUCCUCUUCAUUCUCCAUCACUAAUAUAUAUACUUUCCUCCCCUGCACGCAUGUAACACAAAAAUCCUCAUCAGCUAAGUUCUCUACUAACUGUAUAGUGGGCAUUGUAGUCGACAAAGUAGGGUGCUGAAUAGUAGUGUCGCCAAGCUCAUCAAAAGACUCACAAUCAUUGUAAUCAUUCUUGGGGAGUCUCAAUACAACGGACCACAUACAAUCUACAGGGUCUUUCACGUAAAAUAUCUGCUCUACACAUCUUCCCAAAACAAAAGUGUCUUGCAAAUGACCUUUCCUAUUUAAGUUCACCAAAGUGAAACCAAGAUCAUCUACUUUAACACCCUUAUGACUCUCAACCCAGUCACACUUAAAUAAAGGAAACCUGAAAAAAGCAUAAUCAAGCUCCCAUAUUUUGGUAAUAACCCUAUAGAAGGUCAUGUCCUGAGUAACCAUGUUUUUAUCCUUAGAACUAGCUACUUGAGGUGUCUCUGCCACCAAGUAAACCCCACUACUUUGUGUCUUACGAAGAUCAUCUGGUGAGUUUGUGUUAAAUUGCACACCCCCUACUCUAUAAUCCUAAAACUUCGAUACUUCAUUCCUUGGUUUAUCUGCCAGCCACUUCACAAUCUCAGGGAUGUCACAAUCGGGUUCACUAAGCUGAGUAUCAACCUGCAAAUGUAGACAGAAGUUUAUAACUGUCACAUCCCGACCCUUAUAUUUUUACCUUAUUUACUAGCGUGAUUAUAAUAAGAAUUUACCGUCUCGAUCAUUGAGUUAAUAGUUUAAUUGGUCCCUAGAGGGGUUUCGGGGACGAUUAUGUACAGAGGAUUAUUCGUAUAAGGAAAAUACGACGACGGUAAAAAUAGUAAAUUUUAGCUAGUAAAAGGUAAUUUUUAUACGGGUAUUAUUUUUCAGGGUGUUUUAUUUUUGUGGGAGUUAGGUAUAAUGGGGAGUUGGACCGGUUGGAGAGGCCCAACCUUUUUCCCUCUCUUCUCUCCCGUUUUUCCCUUUCCCCUUGAGUCUUCUUCCCUGCCGAAUCGUCCAGCCGACAUCUGCCGCCGUCCGACCAGCCACCGGCCGCCACUCCACCCCAGUUCGGACCCCCAUCUCCUCCUCUCCCUCCCCGGCCUAACCCCCGAGCCGUUAGCCUGCCGAAAGAAGAGAAAACUCGCCGAAGACGCCGGGAAGCUUUUCGCCGGAACUCCCUCCUCCAGCCACCAAUCCGGGCAAGCUUGGUACGGUUUUGUAGCCCUCCAACCCAGCAGCCUUGCCCUAAAAGGACUCACCCUCUCUUGAGCUAGGUAAGGAGAAAUGUGGAGUUGAAAUUUCUAGGGCUUUUAGGAUGUUUUUAGUCGAUUACCCUAGUUAGGCUUGGAAUUGGUGUUUGUGUUAGUUAUGAAAGUUGUAGAGCAUGAUGAGAGGAAGAUGCUGUCAAAAUUUCAUAGGUUUUAGAGGUCGCUGGAAUCGGCCUCCGGCCGCCGCUGCCGGCGGAGCCGCCGCGGUUUGGGAGAUUUUUAGGGUUUUAAAUGUGGAAUAUUAAGGGGAUUAUAUUGAUGUGAUUUAUGGAAUUUUUGGAUGAGAUUUGGAUAGGUUUGUGAAUUUCCGAAGUUUGGUAUUUUUGGCGGUUAAUUAAUGUAGAAUCCGACCGUAGGAUUUAAGUCGUAUUUUGGGGAGGUUGUAUUUACGACUGUCGAGUAUGAUAUCUCAGUUCGGAUCGUUUCGAUUUAAGAAUAUCGAAGUUAGGCAAUGAUGAGCGUAUUUAUGGCUCUCGGGUAAUUUUGCCUAUUUUGAUUAAAUAUUGGAUUGUUAGUUGGGAAAUUAAUAUUAUAUUUGAAACAUGACGUGAGGAGGCUCGAGCAGACGAAACCCCAGAUCGACGUCAGGCUUAGGCCUAAUUUGUGAGUGGACUUUUGUUUUAAAUAAAAUGCAUGCUAGAGUUCAUGGUUGAACAAUAUUUGUUGCGGAAUAUUUUGACGUCAUUUUAAUUUGACAAAUUUUAUUUCUCUUGGAGAGUUACCGAAAAUGGGAUUUUCGGUGGAUAUAAAUAUGUAUUUAUGAGAGAGUAUGUAUAUAAAAUGCUAGCUAGCCAUAUGUGUCUGUCCACCUUAAUGGCGUAGCAUAUAGCCGCAUUAUGGUGUGACGUGAGCGUUGGACGUGAGCGUAGUAGCCCUAUUUGAGUGUUUAAUUCAUAUGGGGGGUAUGGACACAUAUUUAUACACCCGUCUGUCCACCUUAAUGGCGUAGUGUAGCACCGCAUUAAGGCGUGACGUGAGCGUUGGACGCGAGCGUAGUAUCCUUAUCUAGACCCAUGAAUUUAUAUAGGGAGUAUGGACGAGUGUAGAUACAUACAUAUACUAUAGAGUCUGAGAGGCUCGAUAUUUUAUGAGAUAAAAGUUUUAUCGCUUGCGGCAUGCAUUCGAUUUUCUCCUUAGAAAUUAAUUUAGGGAAACAUAAAUAUUUUAUUUAUUAUUUUAAUUUUUUGUCCACUCACUCUAACGUUAUUAAAUGUUUUCCCCUGGGCCCUUCGUUUUAAAUUGCCCAGUCUGUAGAGUUCGGAUUGGAUCUAGUAGGAGGCGAGGCAUAGUCACCCGCAUUUCCGCCAGUUUUCAUCAGUAGGUUACAUGUUUAACCUACUCAUGUUUUCUUGCUUCCGCUAGUGUCUAAUAGCUCUGAAUACUUUGGGAUUAUUGUAUAUUAUGUUUAGAAUUUCUGAAGGAUAAUUAUGUGAUGUUUGGACGUGUUGUUUUAAGAGUGUAAUUUGGAAUUUUCGAGUUAGGGUUGUCCAUUUUCAAGGGAGAUUUUAGAAAUCUUCUCAGAAAAUUUUCCUUGGAGGUGGUCCCCGCACGACUUACUCCGGGUUUCAGGGUGAAAUUCGGGGUGGGUCGUGUCAUCUCGUCCUUUCUGGUCUGCAUAACAUCUGCAUUAACAUGCAUCUCGGUUUCGAAUUGCAGAGUGGUGUGAAAUUCAAUCUGGUUUUGAGGUACUACUUCCUCAACAUGAAUCGAUUCCUCUGCCCCUUCCCUGAUUUCGGGUCUCGAUGACCCGACCACAACUUCUUUUGCAAUCUGGCCAAUCACUGCAGAUUCAUUCACCGAAUUCGCUGCCAAAGGUUUGUUGGAUGCCCCCUUUUUGGAGGGUCUUCCUCGUUUAGGGUUUGCUUCAUUGGCCUUCGAUUUCGAUCCUUCAAUAACUCUGGUCCGACAGUCGGAGAUUGUGUUUUCGUUGCUGCUGCUUGGAAAACGACCCUGGAGCCUACUACUCCUUCUCGUACCUCCCUCGUCUACCCCUAAAUUUUGGCUCUGAUCAACCCCUUAAGUCGGAGGGUUAGUCUUCUUUUUAGGAGGCAUGGUUAAGGAUUCAGAAGGGGAAUCGAGCGUUUCGAAUUGAGGGUUUAGAAUUGACGGGUUCGGAUGUGGAUGCAAGACAAGAAAGAGAGAGAGAGUGUCUGAGUUUGAGAUUGGGAUUGAGAUUCUUGAGAUUUUAGGGGUAAGGUUGCUUCUGGGUUAGAGAGGGAGAGGGUCUGAGUUUGAAACUGGGAGUUGGAAGCUGAGGGAGAGAAUUAUUGAGAUCAGUUAAGUUGGGUUAGAGUCCUUAAAAUUUAAAAUUUAAGUUAGCUAACGGGGUUAGCAAGAGUUAGUUAACGAGGUUAUUGUGGUUAGUUAACGGGGCUAAUGGGGUUAGUUAACAGGGUUAGUCUAUCAUCUAACAGAGUCAUUGCCACCUAGGCGCCAACUAGGCGAGGUAUGCAUUCCUUAAGGCGUGUAAGGGAUCCCAUAUAUAUACUCCUCUUUUUCUUUUUCUUUUUCUUUUUUUGAAUAAAUUGAGUAGCAGAUCUAGAAAAGUAUGUGUAUUUAGUGAAUAAGUGAUGUGUUUUAAAUAUGGGUAUUGUAGGAAAGAUGGGUAUGUGUAUCUAGUAAAUAUAUUAUUUUUUUUUGAAUAAAUUGAGUUGCAGAUCUAGAAAAGUAUGUGUAUUUAGUGAAUAGGUGAUGUGUUUUAAAUGUGGGUAUUGUAGGAAGGAUGGGUAUGUGUGUAUCUAGUAAAAUGUUAAAACAAUAAAGUCAAUAGGUAUGGAUGAGAUGUGUAUCUACUAAUUAUGGAUGUGUUAAUAAAUUUUCUCUAAAGUAUGACCUCUUUCAUUCAAACAAAAAAAAAACUAAUUCUUGUCAUUUUAAAAGUCUAUAUCAUGAAAUCUAAAUAAUUAAAUUCUCAAUCAAUGAAAUUUAAAUUUAUGGAAUUAUAAUUCUCAUGACUUUAAAAUUUCCAUGAAAAUUGCAAUUACUUAAUCCAAACACAACGUAGUUGAAAUAGAGAGUAUUGAUGUAGAAAAUUUUUUAAAGUGACUAGCCAAAAUAACUUUUUAGCUAUUUUAGCUAUAAUUUGACUACAAAAUGGCUAACAUUGAUAGAGAUGGGAGAAAAUCUUCUGACCCUAAUCUCCUUGUCUCCUUCUCUGUCUCCCAUUCAAAUUUUGACAUCUGUCAUUUCAAUCCAACUCAUCUAACACUGAAUUAACUCUGUUAAUCUCUUGUAAAAUGAAAUAACAGUCAUUUAUCUAUCUUCAAGUACGGCUCAAUCUCGAGGGUUUUUCAAUGCAAGGUUUUGCUCUUUUAGUUGGGAUUUGAUGUACGUGGUCAACGUUAGAUUUUUCUUCUUCUUUUGGAUUCAAUUGGUUGUGGUUUGAUUCAAUUUGUCUUCCUUUUUCAAAAUGAAUUUUCUUAUUUGAAUUUCAUCCAUGUGGGUCAUUUUGAUCUGAUUAUGAUUGGGUUCAUGAGUAAGAUUAAUUUGAUCGUAUUGUGAUUGGAUUCAUGAGUACAUAAGAUUUUGAUCUGGGGUCAUUAAGUAAGUUAUGAGAUUAAGAUUUUGAUAUGGGUUCAUGCUUUUCAAGUUUUGGAUUCACUCUCAAUCUCAAGAAUCAUGAUCUGGAAAUUCUUUAAUCAUCUACAGAUCAGGUAGUUUUUUUUCCUUCUCUGGAAUUAGUGAUUCAUUCUCUCUUUCUCAUGAGCAAUUGGUAUUCAUUUCCACAUCCUUGCGUAUGAAGAACACAAGUCUUCAAUUCAAUUUGAUGUUUAGGACUGCAGAUCUGGGUUUGUGGCUUGUAUCGUAUGAACUAUUUUUUUCUCAGGAAUGAAUUUAGUUUUAUUUACUUUUUUGAGAAAAUUAUUUUUGGGUAAAAUAUUGUAUAGUCCUUGUGGUUUGAAGUCUACAUUUGUUUAGUCCUUCUGAUUUUAUUUUAAUCUGAAUGGUCCUUAAAGUCACAAUUUUAAAUAUGUUUAGUCUUUGUGGUUUUAUUUUAAUCUGAAUGGUCCUUAAAUUCACAAUUUUUAAUCCAAAUGGUCCUAGGCCAUGUCAGUAAUUUAACCGAAAAAAUUGACGGAAUGACCAUUUGGAUGAAAAAUUGUGACUUUAAAGACCAUUCAGAUUAAAAUAAAACCACAAAGAUUAAAUAGAUGACGACUUCAAACCACAAGGACGAAACAAAUUUCAAUUCAUGAUUUUUCUUUAACUUUGUUAAGUGGAUGUUAAGGUUGCUGACGUGGAGGAGAAGUGUCAAGAUUUGAAUAAGAGACAGAGAAGGAGACCAGAAAUUUGGGGACAGAUUCAAUUCAUGAUUUUUCUUUAACUUUGUUAAGUGGAUGUUAAGGUUGCUGACGUGGAAUAGAAGUGUCAAGAUUUGAAUAGGAGACAGAGAAGGAGACAAGAAAUUUGGGGACAGAAGAUUUUCUCCCGAUAAAGAUGCUCUAAGUGUGUUACAUGUCUAGUGAUCUUUGCAUUAUGUCACCGCUGUAACAAAGCAAAUAGAGUCGUCAUUAGAGUAGUACUCUUUGUUAGUUGGUACUUGUUUGAAUACAUGUACUUUGUAGAAAUUUUCGAUAUUAUUUCAGGACUUCUAUAUGCUUAGUAUUGUAAUCAGGGGUUUAAGCUUCACGUCCCCUUUUGUAUUUGACAGUUUCAUUAAUGAAGGCUUGAGGGCAGCCGCACCAUCACUUAUUCCAGAAAUGAAACUUUUGUUGUUGAAUGGUGGGAUUGAUUAAAAUUUGAGUUGUUGUUCAUAGUUAUAAGCCAUGUAUAUUUGAUAACUCUAAGAUAAAUAUCUAAGAGUUAACUCAUUCUAAUUUGGUUAGUUGUAGAAACUAGAAAGGAUAUUUGUAAAUCUUCUCUUGUAAAUCACAUAGAUCAUAGAUUAUUCUUGUGUAAGAAAAUGUACUCAUCUAAUUGUUGAUCAAGUUCAAUAUAAAUAUAUAGUGUUUUCGCGUGGUUGGCGGGGAUGGAGCCACAUGGAAUAUGGGAAGAGCGCUCCAUCUCCAAAUUAAGUCCAAAACAUGUCAAGAGAAAACAUGGUGAUAAGAGGGAAGACCAGGCUUGCUCGUCUUGGUCCAAAGCCGACCCUAUUCUUAUGAUAUGUUUCCCUGAUAUCUUUUUGUAUUUAGUUUUUACCUCUGUUAUGCUCAUAAAUAAGUGAACGCUGGUACUAUAAAACCCUCGUAAUUCAUGUAUGUUGUCAUUCUGGCAUUCAAUUAUUAAUGAAAUUUUUCAUUUUGUACAAAAAAAAAAAAGAAAAAGGAAUACACAUGCUCACCUUUUGGGCCGUGUCAAGGUUGGGCUGAGGUAAUUGAUCCCGCUGGCUUAACCCAAACCGAGCCCACAACCUGGAAACCAACACCCCGCACAAAUCUGUAUGCGCUCAUCAGAAAAACAGAAGAGCUUUCUACUUUACCGUAUCCGUCUUCUUCUGUCCCUCUUAUAAUUUGUCAAAUUCCUAAACUUUGAUAUCUAAAACUUCAUUCACCAAAGCUCGGAUCAGAAACCCACCAUGCCUCCUCCUCCCCACCACCACCAUGAUCAGCCACCGCCCCCAAAACCCAAUCCAAAGGUCCUAUCUUCAAUCCUAAAAGCCCUCAUAAUGACCUUCAUAACCUCCAUCUUCUUCCUCAUUCUCGGCUUCGUUGCCUUCCUCCUCUUCCUCAUCCUCGCCGCCGGCGCUUUCCACCGUCGCCGCACCCAGUCCGACCUCCCCUCAUCUGGGUUCUCCCCCAGACACUUCAAGACCCUCCCCCAGUUCCGCUUCCGAACCCAGAACCAAACGGUGUCGUCCGACUGUGUGGUCUGCCUGGACGCCUUUCGGGAAGGCCAGUGGUGCCGGAAACUCCCUGCUUGCGGUCACCUGUUCCACAGGAGGUGUCUCGACACGUGGCUCGUUAAGGUCUCGGCUUGUCCCAUUUGCCGGACACCUGUUUUAGGUAACGCCUCCGCCGCCGGUUUAGAAGAAGAAGAGGCGAAGCGGUUGUGGAAUUUUAAUAGGAACACGAAUUCAAGGGUUUGGUAGGAAAUAGGUAAAACUUUGUUAUCAUACUUUUUGUUUGGGUUAGAACUUCUGUAUCAUACUGGCUGUUGUUUUUUUUGCUAAUCUGUAUUAGAUUGUUCAUAUACGAUUCCAUCAGGGUGUCAUUGUAUAUAUUUCUAAUUCUUCUGUUUUGUAUUCAUUGGAUUAGGUUUGGUUCAUAACAUUUAGGAUCAGAUUAUAAAGUUUGGCCUUUCCUUCCUAGUUUUAAUUCAGAAGAAAAGCUGCUUGUCUUAGAUGAAAUGGGUUUGAUGAUCAUGCCAUCGAGUCCUACUCAACUAGGAGUUAAUCAUAAUGAUUGGUUUUGUGGAAUGCUCUUUUAAGGCUGAUUUUACACGAUUGAUCAGCAUGGAAGACAAACCAUCUAGUCUUUGCUGAAAUUACAUGUUGGUUGAUUUAUGUUCUUAUUUGAAAUUGAGGUAGAUGGUGUUCAAUGCUUAAACCACGUCCUGCAAAGUGUGCAAGGGAGAUGCUGUGGAUGGCAUUAGGAAAUGGGAUCCCUUAGGAAAUUUAGUUGGGAGUCUCGCAUUCCAACAUUUCUGACCAACUCGUAUCCAGAGUGCGGUUGAUGGGGAACAGCCUUCUUUCAGAGACUUAUUCAACCAGGCAUAUUCCAAGGUUUGAUUCGUUUUCCUUUUCUCUGUUUCUCUGAGUUUUCUUUUCCUGCUCUGUUUUUAAUAGUAGACAAAUUUCAAAUAUUAUGAAUAAAUCGUCAGCUGUAGCCGAUAGGAUCAAAUACUCCAUGUAGAUAAUCUGAACUAUACAGGACAUAGCCAAAGACAGUGCCGUAUAUGACUAUAGUAAUCACCGCUGUAUAUAUGAUGUAGAUAUUUUGAACUGGAUUGGAACUUACUAUAGUCUCAGCUUGGGGAUACAAGUUGUCUGAAUAAUGACAGACCAACAUAAUGGUUUUGAGUAACCAAAAGUUUUAUACGGGUGCUGAUCCUUUCACAUAAUCAUAUUUUCAGGUUUUAUGAAGUGAUUUUGUUUGUUUGCUUGUUCCUUUUUUUCGUAUUUGGUCUGUAAUUAUUGUUUGUAGUAAAUGGAAAUGCAAAACUAUAUUAGACUAGAGAUCUUGAUAUGCCUUCUAAAUCAAUCAAUGAAGGCUUGAGAGCAGCCGUACUAGCAUUUUAUUCAAAAAAUAAAAUAAAACACUCUUUCCGAUUCAUUCAGAAAUUGCUGAAAAUUUCCAUCUACCAAGUAGCUAAAUAUUGCUAAAGUGUGAGGAAAAAAAUUAUUUAUGGCAUAUGUGACUUUUGAGAGUAGAAAGUGGUUACUCCCUGGCAAUAUUUAACUAGCUCCAAGUUGGAAAUUUUGCUUCGCUGCGAUGAGUUUUAUUUUAUUAUCGGUAAAUUUACUUUCAUUUUUAGGGAAAGGGUUUUAGAGGGACCAAAAGCACAAGAAAAAGAAGGACAAACUUAGAAGGGAGAAAUUCCACAACACCGAGGUCGUCCGGAUCGAUGCCUCGAACCACUAUUUUUUUAGCUUGCUUAUACAGUAAUCCAAUUAAUGAGCUCUUAUUAGUUCCUGCCUCCAUUGCCAGAGUCCUCACAUAUCCACGCCCCUCACCGUGACCCUCACCAAGUCACCAUUACUAGUAGGGGUGGGCUCGGGUCGGGUCGGGUCGGGUUUUACAUGAAACCUAAAAGUUUUAGGUCAGGUCGGGUCGGGCCUUUUCAAAAUGUAAACCCAACUGAGACCGGCCCGAUUCGGGCUUUCGGGCUUUUUCGGGCCUAAAUUGAAUUCGGGCUUUUUUCAGGCCCAAAAAAAGAAUUAGAUGCCUUUUCCAUUUUGGGGCUCUAUAUCAGAGCAGUUGUUAUGCUUCUGCUACAAUAACAGUGAUAAUGUCAAGUUUCAAUAACUACUAGGCUAUUACAUUAUGGGUUUCACAAACAUGAGUGAAACUAACUAACUCAAAAUAGACUAAUGACAAUGUUAGUAUUCUUCCUGCAAGUUACAACUUUAGUUGGUUUCACUUUGAAUAAGGCAACUCGAAGCAGAAAUCAUUUUCGAAGACCUAGGAGUUCAAAGCAACAUGAAAAUUGUGAGACACUGACACAAUCCAAACUUAUCAGGACAUUACUAGUAUACUCAAAUUAACAUCAAUACCACAAAUAAACAAAUUACAGAUUACAAUCUUGAAAUGCCUUAAUCAUCAAACAGGUAGGAACUGACAUAUCACAGAAUCUGCUCAACAUUAUCAAACUGAACAAUGGAAUCCUCCUAACUGUAUCAAGGAAAAAGUACCAAAAGUUAUAAAUUAUAGGUAUGUCAGUAGGGAACUACGCCAAAGCAUAACUGACAAGGUCAGUAGGAAGAUGCAGGGCUUUUGGUUGUGACAUCAAAAACUAACUAAUGCAGAGCUCAAUCCAUUUACUUUACUUAAUGGCUAUGCAUUACUCUUAAUCUGCAUAAAUGCUACUGAACUUUAAUAUCAUUCAUGCAAAAGAACAUGGAUGAUGUAGUGCAAAUUUCUUGUUCAGUGGCUGCGGGUGUAGGAGAGGAUACUGAACAAAAGGUAAUCUCGGAUAAAUGAACUCCGUCUUUAAUCUUAUUCUUCUUAUUUACAAAACUACACCCACACCCUUGCUGAUAUUGCUCUAAACAAUUGCAAGCUAAUAGAGCGACAAAAUGAUCCUAAAGACAUAAUAGAUGGUUAAGCCUUAAAUAAAUUGAAUUGACAAACACAAACUACAUUUCAUACAACAUAGUUAUAUUAAAAGCAGAUCCAGUACAACACUGAGAGAAUUAAUAAUGGAAAAUAAACUGAAGAGAAAGCUCAAAAUCCCUCACAUCAUGAGAAUUUAAAGGUGGCAACAUCUAUAAUUAAAGAGCAGCUUUAACAUAGUCAAAUGAUUACACAAAUAUCAAACUAGAUAAUUAAAAGCUGUUGGGAAAACAAAAUGAAGCACUAGAUAACUUUAUGUACCAACUAACCUUUCAGCACAAACAAUUUUACAAAACACUAAACAAUACCUAAUGUUUUUGUUGCCUUCCCUCUUUAGAUGACUUAGAUGCCCUACAUGCUACAGCUUUCCCUUUAGAAGCUUGAGAAGAUUUGGUGGUAAUAGGCAUUUCCGGGUGAUCCUCAGUACCAUUGACACCUUCUUCCUUUUCCGGUUUUGCACCAUAGAUACCAACAAAAGCUCAAGUUCAAAUCGAAACUAAAACUCAGAAUGAAACGAAAAUUAAGAAAAGAAAUAAAAAGUUUUACCUUCCUCCACAGAUUCAUAAAAUUUCAUAUCCUCAAUAGUUGGAACAUAUUGAAUGUUGUGGAUACUCUCAAACCUAAUCCAAUUUUGGUUGCAGAUUAAGGCCUCCACUAUCUUGGGAGAUAAAGAACUCCGAAAUGGAUCAAUCACCCUUCUACCAGUAUUAAAUGAAGACUCGGCUGCUACCGUGCUCACUUGGAUGGCCGACACAUCUUUUGCAAGUGCAGCAAGACCUGGAUACUUGUCACCAUUCAUCUUCCACCAUUCUAAUAUGUUGAAUUUCUCAGGACUUGGAAGCUUCUCAAUUGGGUCCAGUAGGUAUCUGUCCACUUCGUGUACAACAACAGCUUCUUGAGAGUCUUCCAAUUCUCUCUCUCAUUUUUCUUCCAUGUCUUUUAUGAUUCCAGUUGUCACAUCUCGACCUUUAAAUUUUUACCUUAUUUACUAGCUUGGUUAUAAUAAGAAUUUUACCGUCUUCGUCAAUGAAGUUAUAGUUUAAUUGGUCCCUAGAGGGGUUUUGGGGAACGAUUAUUUCGGAGAGUUAUUCAUAGAAGAAAAUUAUGACGACGGUAAAAAUGGUAAAUUUUAGCUAGUAAAAGGUAAUUUUUAUUAGGGUAUUAUUUUUGGGGUGUAAAUUUUGGAGUUGGGUUUGUUUUAGAGGGGGGGUUUUAAGUUGGACCGGUUUGGGGUGUGGAGGCCCAAAACCAUUUCCCUCUUCUCUUUUUCUUCCCGGUUGCCCUCUUCCCCGACUCUCUCCCGUUGCCCCAUUUUCCGGCCGUCCGCCCGCCGCCGUCCGGCCACCAUCUGCCGCCGCACCGGUCCCGUUCGGUCGGCCUCCGACCCAGUAACCUCCCUGGACCGGUGACAGCUCCCCUAGUGCCGCCGUGAGAGAGAAACGAUGCCUGAAGCCGGUGGAAGCCGUGGUGGUUCUUGUUGUGUUUUGGCUCGUUGAUAUGAUUUGGAAAUUAAGGAUUCAGUAGGAAAAUCUUAGUCUAGAAAGGAAAGAGGAUUUUCUAUAAGUUUUAGGAAAGUAAUCUUUCAAGAUCUGUUAGGAUUUUGUCUGCUAGGUUUAGGAGUCCUAAAAAUCUUAUUGUAUCAGCAGCCCCUAUAAUAGGGAGCCGCAGGGGGAUUCUCUAAGAGUGAGACAGAAAACCUAGAGAGUCAAGAGUGAUAGAGAGAUAAGAGAUCUAGCAGGGAGNNNNNNNNNNNNNNNNNNNNNNNNNNNNNNNNNNNNNNNNNNNNNNNNNNNNNNNNNNNNNNNNNNNNNNNNNNNNNNNNNNNNNNNNNNNNNNNNNNNNNNNNNNNNNNNNNNNNNNNNNNNNNNNNNNNNNNNNNNNNNNNNNNNNNNNNNNNNNNNNNNNNNNNNNNNNNNNNNNNNNNNNNNNNNNNNNNNNNNNNNNNNNNNNNNNNNNNNNNNNNNNNNNNNNNNNNNNNNNNNNNNNNNNNNNNNNNNNNNNNNNNNNNNNNNNNNNNNNNNNNNNNNNNNNNNNNNNNNNNNNNNNNNNNNNNNNNNNNNNNNNNNNNNNNNNNNNNNNNNNNNNNNNNNNNNNNNNNNNNNNNNNNNNNNNNNNNNNNNNNNNNNNNNNNNNNNNNNNNNNNNNNNNNNNNNNNNNNNNNNNNNNNNNNNNNNNNNNNNNNNNNNNNNNNNNNNNNNNNNNNNNNNNNNNNNNNNNNNNNNNNNNNNNNNNNNNNNNNNNNNNNNNNNNNNNNNNNNNNNNNNNNNGAGUCGAUCACACUCUCUAAAGUGUGUGAGAACCUGGAAUCUUACAUCAGAUUGGAGAGAGAAGAAGAUAGUUCUCAAGCACGGGGACUCUAUGUCAGAGGCAAGGAGAGAGGAAGGUCAAGGAAUAGAGGUGGUGGAUUUCAAGGAAGGGCCAGGUCUAAAUCCAAGGGAAAAGGCAAAGAAAAGAAAGAUGGUUGCUUCGUAUGUGGUUCACCCGACCACUGGAAAAGGAAUUGCAAACAAUGGAAGGAGAAGAAGGCGCAGAUGUCAAGAGAAAGCUCCCAGUCAGCCAACGUCGUCAUUGGAUACAAUGAUGAGGAUGGAAAACUCCUCAUAAUCUCAACCAGCUCCGGCGCGCCUAGACAUUGGACCUUGGAUACGGCCUGCACGUUUCAUAUGUGUGCACACAGAGAUUGGUUCAACACAUAUAAGGAGAGGAACACCGGAUCAGUUUUGAUGGGAAAUGAUUCACCAAGCAGAAUUAUGGGAAUCGGAACAGUAAGGAUCAGAAUGCAUGAUGGCAUUGUCAGAAUGCUGGGAAACGUUAGACAUAUCCCAGGUUUGAGCAGAAAUCUGAUUUCAUUAAGUACCAUGGAUAGGGCUGGAUUUUGGCAUAAAGGUCAGAAUGGAGUGCUCAAAGUAGGAAAGGGACAAAUGGUCUACAUGAAGGUGCAAUACAACCAGAUAACAUGUAUAAACUUACAGGUUCUACAGUAGAAGGUGGAGCAGCAGUUUGUACGGAAGAAGACAAGAUUGAGCUUUGGCAUAGAAGGCUAGGGCACAUGAGUCAAAGUGGGUUGCAAGAAUUACACAAGAAGGAACAGUUAGAUGGUGUAAUGAGCGCAGCUUUAGAAUUUUGCAAGUAUUGCACACUUGGGAAGCAGACCAGAGUGUCAUUCAAUUUGAGCAGCAGCGAGAACAAAUCCAAAGGAGUACUAGACUAUAUUCACACAGAUGUCUGGGGGCCAUCAGCAACAAUAUCAAAGGGUGGAGCCAGAUACUUCGUGUCCUUCAAAGAUGAUUUCUCAAGGAAGGUCUGGAUUUUCUUUAUGAAGACUAAAAACGAGGUUUUCACCAAGUUCAAGGAAUGGAAAGUUGAAGUAGAAAAUCAGACGGGCAGAAAAAUGAAGUGUUUGAGGAGCGACAAUGGAGGUGAAUAUAGAGAUAAGAAGUUCUUACAGCUGUGCAAAGAUGAAGGCAUCACAAGGCACUUUACUGUUAAGAAGACUCCCCAACAAAACGGUGUUGCAGAGAUGAUGAACAGAACUCUCAUGGAAAAGAAGGAGCANNNNNNNNNNNNNNNNNNNNNNNNNNNNNNNNNNNNNNNNNNNNNNNNNNNNNNNNNNNNNNNNNNNNNNNNNNNNNNNNNNNNNNNNNNNNNNNNNNNNNNNNNNNNNNNNNNNNNNNNNNNNNNNNNNNNNNNNNNNNNNNNNNNNNNNNNNNNNNNNNNNNNNNNNNNNNNNNNNNNNNNNNNNNNNNNNNNNNNNNNNNNNNNNNNNNNNNNNNNNNNNNNNNNNNNNNNNNNNNNNNNNNNNNNNNNNNNNNNNNNNNNNNNNNNNNNNNNNNNNNNNNNNNNNNNNNNNNNNNNNNNNNNNNNNNNNNNNNNNNNNNNNNNNNNNNNNNNNNNNNNNNNNNNNNNNNNNNNNNNNNNNNNNNNNNNNNNNNNNNNNNNNNNNNNNNNNNNNNNNNNNNNNNNNNNNNNNNNNNNNNNNNNNNNNNNNNNNNNNNNNNNNNNNNNNNNNNNNNNNNNNNNNNNNNNNNNNNNNNNNNNNNNNNNNNNNNNNNNNNNNNNNNNNNNNNNNNNNNNNNNNNNNNNNNNNNNNNNNNNNNNNNNNNNNNNNNNNNNNNNNNNNNNNNNNNNNNNNNNNNNNNNNNNNNNNNNNNNNNNNNNNNNNNNNNNNNNNNNNNNNNNNNNNNNNNNNNNNNNNNNNNNNNNNNNNNNNNNNNNNNNNNNNNNNNNNNNNNNNNNNNNNNNNNNNNNNNNNNNNNNNNNNNNNNNNNNNNNNNNNNNNNNNNNNNNNNNNNNNNNNNNNNNNNNNNNNNNNNNNNNNNNNNNNNNNNNNNNNNNNNNNNNNNNNNNNNNNNNNNNNNNNNNNNNNNNNNNNNNNNNNNNNNNNNNNNNNNNNNNNNNNNNNNNNNNNNNNNNNNNNNNNNNNNNNNNNNNNNNNNNNNNNNNNNNNNNNNNNNNNNNNNNNNNNNNNNNNNNNNNNNNNNNNNNNNNNNNNNNNNNNNNNNNNNNNNNNNNNNNNNNNNNNNNNNNNNNNNNNNNNNNNNNNNNNNNNNNNNNNNNNNNNNNNNNNNNNNNNNNNNNNNNNNNNNNNNNNNNNNNNNNNNNNNNNNNNNNNNNNNNNNNNNNNNNNNNNNNNNNNNNNNNNNNNNNNNNNNNNNNNNNNNNNNNNNNNNNNNNNNNNNNNNNNNNNNNNNNNNNNNNNNNNNNNNNNNNNNNNNNNNNNNNNNNNNNNNNNNNNNNNNNNNNNNNNNNNNNNNNNNNNNNNNNNNNNNNNNNNNNNNNNNNNNNNNNNNNNNNNNNNNNNNNNNNNNNNNNNNNNNNNNNNNNNNNNNNNNNNNNNNNNNNNNNNNNNNNNNNNNNNNNNNNNNNNNNNNNNNNNNNNNNNNNNNNNNNNNNNNNNNNNNNNNNNNNNNNNNNNNNNNNNNNNNNNNNNNNNNNNNNNNNNNNNNNNNNNNNNNNNNNNNNNNNNNNNNNNNNNNNNNNNNNNNNNNNNNNNNNNNNNNNNNNNNNNNNNNNNNNNNNNNNNNNNNNNNNNNNNNNNNNNNNNNNNNNNNNNNNNNNNNNNNNNNNNNNNNNNNNNNNNNNNNNNCAUGAGAUUUCAUGCAGGGUUGCCUGAAGAGUUUUGGGCAGAAGCGGCUAAUCAUGCAUGUUAUUUGAUUAAUCGAUCACCUUCUAGGGCUAUUAAUUUCAAGUGUGCAGAGGAGGUAUGGUCUGGAAAACCGGUUGAUUAUUCCAACUUAAGGGUGUUUGGUUGCAGUGCUUAUGCACAUAUUCCCAAAGACGAAAGAACCAAGCUGGAACCUAAGUCUCUUGAAUGCUUGUUCAUCGGCUUCGAGAAAGGAGUAAAAGGUUAUAAGUUGUGGGAUAUAGUCAAUGAGAAAAAGGUGAUCAGCAGAGACGUUGUCUUUGAUGAAAAGACCAUGCCAUUAAAUGAAGAAGAUAAUAGCAAGAAGGGGCAGAUGGCUGUUGAUGAAGGAGAAGCAAUCAGUAUUUCAUUAGCUAAACCAUCAGUUGCAGAUUCCGAAGCUCAGGUGGAGCAAAUUGAGCAAGGGAAUGAUGAAUUAGCUAUUGAGGAACCAGAGCAUCAACAACAACCAACCGUUAUGGCUCAGGUGGAGCAAUCUCCACAAAGAGGAUAGAAUUCUCCUAUGCCACAAGCACCUGAGUCAUUCAAAAGAAGCAUAGAAAUAGAGGAGUGAAGUGGAGGAGGAAGAAGAUGACACAACUCACAGAAGGUCAUAUAUUCUGAAAUGGGCAAGGAAGACAAACACAAAGAGUGAAAGAGGUGACAAACCCAAAAGGAAUCGAAAACCAAUUCAGCGUUUUGGAUUCGAACUGGAAGAAGAUGUGAGUCGUGCUCUGAGUAUAAGUCAAGGAGAUCCAACAACAUACGAAGACACCAUAGAAAGCGUGGAAAGUGCAGGUUGGAUCAGUGCUAUGACUGAAGAGAUGGAAUCUUUGCAUAAGAAUUCCGUGUGGGAGCUGGUUCCUAAACCCAAAGAAAGAAAACUUGUUGGCUGCAAGUGGGUGUUUAGGAAGAAAGAAGGAAUACAUGAAGAUGAUGCCAUGACUUACAAAGCACGUUUGGUGGCAAAAGGGUAUUCGCAGAAAGUAGUGGAUUAUGACGAGAUUUUCUCUCCAGUCGUCAAACACACUUCAAUCAGAUUGUUGUUGUCUAUAGCAGCUCAAUAUGAUAUGGAGAUUGAGCAGAUGGAUGUGAAGACUACUUUUCUUCAUGGGGACCUCGAAGAAGACAUUUAUAUGUCGCAGCCAGAGGGUUUUGUUGAAACAGGAAAAGAGAAUCUGGUUUGUCGCUUGAGGAAGUCUCUAUAUGGGCUCAAGCAAUCACCAAGGCAGUGGUACAAACAUUUCGACACAUACAUGCUGAAAAUAGGCUACACAAGAUGUCUAUAUGACUGUUGCGUCUACUACCAUGUAUUCGAAGAUGGGGAAUUCAUUCUACUACUUUUGUAUGUAGAUGACAUGCUAAUUGCAUGCAGGGAGAUGUCGAAAAUUCAAGAACUUAAGAAGAAGUUAGGAGCUGAAUUCGAUAUGAAGGAUCUAGGAGCUGCACAGAAGAUCCUUGGGAUUGAAAUAAAGAGGGAUAGAAGCGAAAGAAAAAUAUGGCUGUCACAAGAAAAGUACAUCAUGAAGGUACUUGAAUGCUUCAACAUGGAUGGAGCCAAGUUUGUUUCUACCCCAUUAGCUGGACACUUUAAGUUGAGUGCACAGCAAAGGCCAUCAAAUCAGAAAGAAAUUGAUGUGAUGAAGAAUGUUCCAUAUGCAAGUGCAGUAGGAUGUCUCAUGUAUGCAAUGAUAUGCACAAGACCAGAUUUAGCUCAAGCAUUGAGCGUCGUCUCCAAGUAUAUGUCAAAUCCGGGUAAACGCCAUUGGGAAGCAGUAAAGUGGAUUUUAAGGGUACUUGAAGAGGACUAAGCAGCUUGGAAUUANNNNNNNNNNNNNNNNNNNNUCCACAACAGGUUAUGUUUUCACCUGUGGAGGAGGACCUGUGAGCUGGAAGGCGACUCUUCAAGCAGUCACAGCUCUAUCUACUACAGAGGCAGAGUAUAUGGCAUUAACAGAGGCUUCAAAGGAGGCUAUUUGGUUGAAUGGGCUGGCAAGUCAGUUUGGGAUUCACCAAGAAGGCGUGGUAGUGAAGUGUGACAGCCAAAGUGCCAUUCACUUGGCAAAGAAUCAGGUGUUUCAUGCAAGAACGAAGCACAUUGAUGUUCGCUAUCACAGGAUCAGAGAUUGGGUAGAAGCUGGAGAUAUCAUUGUGGAGAAGGUUCACACAAAUGACAAUGCAGCAGAUUGUUUAACCAAGCCCGUUUCUGCAAAGAAGUUCAAGCAUUGCUUGGACUUGCUUAGUGUCACAGCUUGCUGAGUUGUGGUGGAGCACCUCCACACUUGAGGUGCGUUAAGGCAAGAAGAGUCUUGCCAAGGUGAAGGUUCUUAGAGGUUUUGUUUAGGGUUACUUCAAGAAGAUUCAAGAUAUCCUAAAGGGAGCAGCAAUCAUUUGGUAUCAACUCACCAAGGUGGAGAUUGUUGUGUUUUGGCUCGUUGAUAUGAUUUGGAAAUUAAGGAUUCAGCAGGAAAAUCUUAGUCUAUAAAGGAAAGAGGAUUUUCUAUAAGUUUUAGAAAAGUAAUCUUUCAAGAUCUGUUAAGAUUUUGUCUGCUAGGUUUAGGAGUCCUAAAAAUCUUAUUGUAUCAGCAGCCCCUAUAAUAGGGAGCCGCAGGGGGAUUCUCUAAGAGUGAGACAAAAAACCUAGAGAGUCAAGAGUGAUAGAGAGAUAAGAGAUCUAGCAGGGAGUUGGGGAUUAGCAUAGGGAUUUCAAUAAGUACUUGUAAUCAAGUUGUUAUUCUCCAUAGUGCUAGUGAUUCUCUCAAGAGAGAUCACAAAGUGGACGUAGGCUAAUUAUAGCUGAACCACUAUAAUUCCGCUGUGUCUGUUUAUGUGCUCAUUUGUUUUUAUCUUUGCUUAUAUCGUAAAGUCUAAGUAAAGAUCCUAGGGACUUAACCACUAUAGUUCUCUCGCCGGAACUCCGUCCUCCGGCCACCAUAGCCGGCGAUCCUUGACUCGUUUUGUAGCCCUCCUCCCGUGCAGCAACCCCUCCAAAGGACUCACUCUCUCUUAAGCUAGGUAAGGAGAAAUACGGAGUUGAAUUUUCUAGGGCUUUUAGGAUGUUUUUGUUCGAUUGACAUAGUUAGGCUUGGAAUUGGGUGUUGUGUUACUUAGGAAAGUUGUAGAGCAUGAUGAGAAGAUUAUUCUGUCAAAAUUUCAUAGGCAUUAGAGGUCGCCGGAAUCGGCCUCUGGCCGCCGUUGUUUGGGAGUUUUGUAUAGUUUUAAAUGUGGAAUAUUAAGGGGAGUAUUUUGAUGUGAAGUAUGAAUUUUCGGAUGAGUUUUGGAUAGGUUUGUGAAUUUCUAAAGUUUGGUAUUUUUUGGCGGUUGAUUAAUGUAGAAUCCGACCGUAGGAUUUAAGUCGUUAAUCUGUAGAAGAUUGUUUUAAGGCUCCCGGUAUGUUCGGUGAAGUUUGAGCCAUUUUGAGUUAAGAAUGGCGUAGUUGGGCAAUGAUGAGUGUGUGGGAGGCUCACGUUUAAUUUUGCCCAUUCUGUUUAAUUAUUGGAUUUUUAGUGGGAAAUUAAUAUUAUAUUUGGAACAGGAUGUGAGGAGGCUCGAGCAGACGAGGCCCCAGAUCGAAGUCAGGCUUAGGCCUAAUUUGUGAGUGGACUUUUGUUUUAAAUAAAAUGCAUGCUAUAGUUCAUAGAUGAACAAUUAAUGUUGUGGAGCAUUUUGACGUCAUUUUAUUUUGACGAUUUUUAUUUCUCUUGGAGAGUUAUGUAUUUAUGAGAGAGUAUGUAUAUAAAAGCUAGCUAGCCUAUGUGUCUGUCCACCUUAAUGGCGUAGCAUAUAGCCGCAUUAUGGUGUGACGUGAGCGUUGAACGUGAGCGUAGUAGCCCUAUUUGAGUGUUUAAUUCAUAUAAGGGGUAUGGACACAUAUUUAUACACUUGUCUGUCCACAUUAACGGUGUAGUGUAGCACCGCAUUAAGGCGUGACGUGAGCAUUGGACGCGAGCGUAGUAGCCCUAUAUAGACCCAUGAAUUUAUAUAGGGAGUAUGGACGAGUGUAAAUACAUACAUAUAUUUUAGAGUCUGAGAGGCUCGAUAUUUUAUGAGAUAAAAUAUUUAUCACAUGCGGCAUGCAUUCGAUUUUUCCUUGGAAAGUGACUUGGGAAACAUAAAUAUUUUUUAUUUAUUAUUUUAUUUUUUGUCCACUCACUCUAACGUUAUUAAAUGUUUUCCCCUAGGCCAUUCGUUUUAAAAUGCCCAGUCUGCAGAGUUCGGGUCGGAUCUAAUAGGAGGCGAGGCAUAGUCACCCACAUUUCCGCCAAUUUUCAUCAGUAGGUUAACUGUUUAACCUACUAGUUUCUUGCUUUCGCUAGUGGCUAGUAGCUCUGAAUACUUUGGAUUAUUGUAAAUUAUUUCGGUGGUGUGCUCGGUCUGUUGAUUGUAUGUUGAGAAUGUUUGAAGGAUAAUGUUUGCUGUUUUUAGCUGGAUAUUUAUAUGAUGCUUGGACGUGUUGCAGUAAGAGUGUAAAUUUGUAAUUUUCGAGUUAGGGUUGUCCAUUUUCAAGGGAGGUUUUACCAAUCUUUUCGGUAAAUUUUUCCUUGGAGGUGGUCCCCGCACGACUUACUCCGGGUUUCCUGGUGAAAUUCGAGGUGGGUCGUGUCAGUUGGUAUCAGAGUUUUAGGUUUCCUUUUCCUGCUUCCUUGUCACUAUCAUAUUUGCCUAAGUAGCAUGUAGUGUCUAUAGAGUGAUGAUCCGACCGUGGCGGAUUCAUUGGCAUUUUAUACUUUUGAUGCUAUGUGUUAUUGGGUAUGUGUGAUAGUUGUGUUAGUCUUAUUUAUGGACUACUAAAUAUCUUCUUCCUCAGGUGCUAUGCCUCCUAGGUGCCCACGACAACCCCGUGUGGCUACUUCGACCAAUGCCGAUGAGGGCAAUGAGGUCAGGGGACUGGUUGAUGAUAUUGGAAAUAUGCUGAGGGAUGUCAUGGAUCGAGCUCCACGCCCUCCUACGGUGAAAAGGAGAGAAGUUUAUGAUGCUGGAGCCAGAGAGUUCAAGGGUGCCAAGGGACCUCUUAAUGCUCACAAUUGAGUGGACAAGAUGGAAAAUGCUUUUGCGAGCACUAAGUUGCCAGAAGAAAGAAAGGUGAAGAUGGCAGUGACUUUUCUGGAUGAUUCAGCACAUCACUGGUGGUCGCUUGCCAGUAGGAAUGUUGAGGAUGCGCUGAAUAUGUCGUGGGAGCAGUUUAAGACUCUUCUUGGGGCAGUAUUUCAAUCAUGCCCACCACAGCAGAAUUCAGUCGGAUUUCCUGCAUAUGACGAAGAGGGAUGAUGAGGGUAUCAUAGAGUUCCAGGAAAGAUUCACUUCCCUGAGCUACCAGGUGUCAUAGCUGGUUCCUGAUGAGAAGACCAAGAUUAAGAUGUUCAUUGGGGCACUUGGUGGAGUGUAUGCGGACAAGAUGACAGGGGUAAUUUACCCGACCUUUACGGAUGCAGUUGGUGCAGCCAUGACCAUUGAGUCCAAGGGGACAUAUGGUGCUCGGCCCAGUGAUUACAGUGGCCCCAGUCAGGGUCCAUCCAAGAAGGCUGCUUCAUCAUCCGCUUCUGGUUCUUCAGCUGGUAGUGGCAGUAGUGGAGGAUCGGGUUCUAAUUCUCGGUUCAGGGUUAGAGGACGUCACAGGAGAUCUUCUCGGAGUCAUUUGGGUAGGCAGCAAUCUAGACAGUAUGGUUCUGGUGGCAGCUUCCAGGAUGGGUCAUCUAGUAGCCAAACUUUUUCUUAUGGGCAGCAGCAGUUUUUUGGGUGUUUUGAGUGUGGUGGUCAAGACCACUUCAGGAGAGAUUGCCCAGUGUUGGCUCAGAGGACCACCCCCACCCCUACUCAGCCAGUUGGUCAGUCUUCAGCUAGAGGCUCUAGUAGUGGUGCCCGGGGCAGUGCUUCGGUCAGAGGUGGCUCUCAGCGGGGAAGUGAUCAGCGUGGACGUCCCAUGACUCGCGCUAGACUGCAUGCUAUGACCCAGCAGGAGGGUCGUACUUCUCCAGAUGUCAUCAUUGGUACGUUAUUAAUUUUUGGUCAGCCUGCAUUUAGUUUAAUUGAUCCCGGAGCCACGCAUUCAUUCAUGUCUAGUAGAUUUGCCCUCCAUGCCAAUGUGCCAUCAUCGUCUCUUCCAAGCGAGUGGCAUGUGUCUCUACCCUCCGGUGAGGUGAUGAGAAUAAAUUGGGUGUUUAGUAGUUGGGAAGUUUUAGCAAAAGGAGUUAAUUUCGAGGCUGAUUUAAUUCCUUUAGAUAUAGUGGAGUUUGAUGCGAUCUUGGGAAUGAACUUUUUAGAAGCAUAUAGAGCUAUGGUAGAUUGUUAUCAGAAAGUAGUGGUGCUUCGAAGUCCAGAUGGUUUUGAGGUUGCUUUCCAAGGGGAAAGAGAUGUUAUUUCUAGUUGCAUAAUUUCCGCUGUUGCUGCAAGGAAAUUAUUGAGUAAAGGCUGUCAGGCAUAUUUAGCUCAUGUGGUGGAUUCAAGUAUGGGAGUUGUGGGAAUAGAAGAUAUUCCAGUAGUAAGGGAGUUCCCGGAUGUUUUUCCUGAAGAGUUGUCUGGUUUACCUCCUGCAAGGGAGAUAGAUUUCUUUAUAGAAUUACUUCCUGGAACUAUGCCUAUCUCACAGGCACCUUACAGAAUGGCUCUAGCGGAAUUGAAAGAGUUGAAGACUCAAUUGCAGGAGUUGGUAGAUAAGGGUUUUAUUCGGCCUAGCAUGUCUCCACGGGGUGCUCCAGUGUUGUUUGUUAAGAAGAAAGACGGCACCAUAAGACUAUGCAUUGAAUAUAGGAAGUUGAAUCAGGUCACGGUGAAGAAUAAAUAUCCGUUGCCUCGGAUCGAUGAUUUAUUUGAUCAGUUGAGGGGUGCCUUGGUUUUCUCUAAGAUUGAUUUGAGAUCGGGUUAUCAUCAGUUGCGGAUCCGAGAGGGUGACAUAGCCAAGACUGCUUUCCGAUCACGUUAUGGUCAUUAUGAAUUUGUGGUGAUGCCAUUUGGAUUUACUAACGCACCUGCAACAUUCAUGGAUCUCAUGAAUAGGGUGUUUAGUCCAUAUCUUGAUCGUUUCGUGAUCGUAUUCAUUGAUUACAUCUUGGUUUACUCACGAAGUGAGAAGGAGCAUGCCAAGCAUCUAAGAAUAAUAUUACGGACUUUGGAAAAUUCGUAGUUAUAUGCUAAGUUGAGCAAGUGUGAGUUUUGGCUAGAUAAAGUGAGGUUCUUGGGUCAUGUGGUUUCGGUAGAAGGAGUUGGUGUGGAUCUCCAAAAGGUGGAAGCAGUGUCAAAUUGGAGAAGACCCAUCACUGUGACGGAGAUCCGUAGUUUCUUGGGAUUAGCAGGUUAUUAUCAGCGCUUUGUGAAAGAUUUUUCAAAAAUUGCUGCUCCUCUUACAAGAUUGACCAGGAAGGGGGUUAAGUUUGAUUGGUCAGAUCAAUGUGAGCAAAGUUUUCAAGAACUGAAGAAUUGCUUGACAAGUGCUCUUGUUUUGGCACUUCCGGAUGAUAGUGGAGAGUAUGUGGUCUAUUGUGAUGCUUCUAGACGUGGUAUAGGUGGAGUUUUGAUGCAGCAUGAUCGAGUUAUUGCCUACGCUUCUAGGCAAUUGAAGCCGCAUGAGGGGAAUUAUCCUACUCAUGAUCUGGAGCUUGCAGCGGUAGUUUUUGCUCUCAAGUUGUGGAGACACUAUCUUUAUGGAGCCAAGUGUCAGAUUUUUACCGAUCACAAGAGUCUUCGGUAUGUGUUCACUCAAAGAGAGCUAAAUAUGAGACAGAGAAGGUGGAUGGAGUUAAUCAAUGAUUAUGAUUGCACUAUUGAGUAUCAUCCUGGAAAGCUAAUGUGGUAGCUGAUGCUCUUAGUCGAAAUCCCUCCAUAUCUUUAUCUCAUAUAAAGAUGGUUCGUGUUCCGCUUCUUUGUGAGUUGCGAGCUACAGGGGUGGAUUUAGCAAUAGAUAAGGUUGGUGCUUUGGUAGCCAGUUUUCAUGUGAGGCCAGUUUUGGUUGAUAGAGUGCGGGAAGCACAGAAUAAUAAUCCUUUCAUAGUUCGAUUGAUAAAAAGAGCUUCGAAUGGAGCCGCAGUCGAUCAUUUUUUAGUUAGAAGAGAUGGGACUCUAUUAUUUAAGAACCGGCUAUGUGUUUCAAAAAGAAAUGAAGAGUUGAAGAGUAAGAUUAUGGAGGAAGCUCAUAGUUCGGCUUAUGCUGCUCAUCCGGGUAGCACAAAAAUGUAUCGGAUUUUGAAGUAUUAUUAUUGGUGGCCAAACAUGAAGAGGGAAAUUGCAGCUUAUGUGAGUAGAUGUCUGAUUUGUUAGCAAGUAAAGGCAGAAAGGUAGAAGCCUUCUGGUUUGCAUGAGCCGUUGUCUAUUCCAGUGUGGAAGUGGGACCACAUCAUCAUGGAUUUUGUUUUCAGUUUACCUCGUACCCGUGAAGGGCAUGACGGUAUUUGGGUGAUUGUGGAUAGACUCACCAAGUUUGCACAUUUCUUGCCAGUGGGAAAGAAGUAUAAAUUGGAUAAAUUGGCGGAGCUUUAUGUGAAUGAAAUUGUGAGGCUUCAUGGUGUUCCUGAAUCAAUAGUGUCGGAUCGGGAUCCUGGAUUUGCUUCGAAAUUCUGGGGAGCUCUUUAGGCAGCUUUAGGUACCCAAUUACUCUUCAGCACUGCUUUUCAUCCUCAGGCUGAUGGGCAGUCCGAGAGAAUUAUUCAGACUUUGGAGGAUAUGUUGAGGGCUUGUGCCUUGCAGUUUAGAGGGAGUUGGGAUAAAAACCUAUCUUUGAUGGAAUUUGCCUAUAAUAAUAGCUAUCAUUCUAGCAUUGGUAUGGCUCCCUUUGAGGCACUUUAUGGGAGACAGUGUCGCACGCCCUUGUGUUGGAAUGAAGUAGGGUAAAAAGAGCUUUGCAGUCCUGAGUUGAUUCAUAUUACAAAUGAGAAGAUUAAAGUGGUUAGAGAUAGACUCAAGGCCACUCAAAGUAGGCAGAAGAGUUAUGCAGAUGUCCGUAGGAAAGAUCUUGAGUUUCAAGUGGGUGAUUGGGUGUUCUUGAAACUAUCUCUUUGGAAAGGGGUAGUACGUUUCGGUAAGCGUGGGAAGCUUAGUCCGAGGCAUAUUGGCCCUUAUGAGAUAAUAGAGCGAGUUGCCUCACUUGCUUAUCGAUUAGCCUUGCCUCCAGACUUAUCUAGGAUACAUAAUGUGUUUCAUGUAUCCAUGCUUCGCAAGUAUAUUGCCGAUCCUUCUCAUGUGUUGCAAGAGCAGCUGAUCAGUUUGACGACAGAUUUGUCUUAUGAAGAGGAUCCGGUUCAGAUUCUUGAUCGAAAGGAGCUAGUGCUCAGGAACAAGACAAUCCCACUUGUCAAGGUGCUUUGGAGAAGUAAUCAAGUAGAAGAAGCUACUUGGGAAUCAGAGGAGCAAACGAUGCAGCAGUAUCCCUAUCUCUUCGAAUGACAGGUAUGUAAAUUUCGAGGACGAAAUUUUUAUAAGGAGGGGAGAAUUGUCACAUCCCGACCCUUAAAUUUUUACCUUAUUUACUAGUUUGGUUAUAAUAAGAAUUUUACCGUCUCCGUCAAUGAAGUUAUAGUUUAAUUGGUCCCUAGAGGGGUUUUGGGGGACGAUUAUUCCGGAGAGUUAUUCGUAGAAGAAAAUUAUGACGACGGUAAAAAUGGUAAAUUUUAGCUAGUAAAAGUUAAUUUUUAUUAGGGUAUUAUUUUUGGGGUGUAAAUUUUGGAGUUGAGUUUGUUUUAGAGGAGGCUCACGUUUAAUUUUGCCCAUUCUGUUUAAUUAUUGGAUUUUUAGUGGGAAAUUAAUAUUAUAUUUGGAACAGGAUGUGAGGAGGCUCGAGCAGACGAGGCCCCAGAUCGACGUCAGGCUUAGGCCUAAUUUGUGAGUGGACUUUUGUUUUAAAUAAAAUGCAUGCUAUAGUUCAUAGAUGAACAAUUAAUGUUGUGGAGCAUUUUGACGUCAUUUUAUUUUGACGAUUUUUAUUUCUCUUGGAGAGUUACCGAAAAUGAGAUUUUCGGUGGAUUUAAAUAUGUAUUUAUGAGAGAGUAUGUAUAUAAAAGCUAGCUAGCCUAUGUGUCUGUCCACCUUAAUGGCGUAGCAUAUAGCCGCAUUAUGGUGUGACGUGAGCGUUGGACGUGAGCGUAGUAGCCCUAUUUGAGUGUUUAAUUCAUAUAGGGGUAUGGACACAUAUUUAUACACUUGUCUGUCCACCUUAAUGGCGUAGUGUAGCACCGCAUUAAGGCGUGACGUGAGCGUUGGACGCGAGCGUAGUAACCUUAUAUAGACCCAUGAAUUUAUAUAGGGAGUAUGGACGAGUGUAAAUACAUAUAUAUAUUUUAGAGUCUGAGAGGCUCGAUAUUUUAUGAGAUAAAUAAUUUAUCGCAUGCAGCAUGCAUUCGAUUUUUCCUUGGAAAGUGACUUGAGGAAACAUAAAUAUUUUUUAUUUAUUAUUUUAUUUUUUGUCCACUCACUCUAACGUUAUUAAAUGUUUUCCCCUAGGCCCUUAGUUUUAAAAUGCCCAGUCUGCAGAGUUCGGGUCAGAUCUAGUAGGAGGCGAGGCAUAGUCACCCACAUUUCCGCCAGUUUUCAUCAGUAGGUUACCUGUUUAACCUACUAGUGUUUUCUUGCUUCCGUUAGUGCCUAGUAGCUCUGAAUACUUUGGAUUAUUGUAAAUUAUUUCGGUGGUGUGCUCGGUCUGUUGAUUGUAUGUUGAGAAUGUUUGAAGGAUAAUGUUUGCUGUUUUUAGCUGGAUAUUUAUGUGAUGCUUGGACGUGUUACAGUAAGAGUGUAAAUUUAUAAUUUUCGAGUUAGGGUUGUCUAUUUUCAAGAGAGGUUUUACUAAUCUUUUCGGUAAAUUUUUCUUUGGAGGUGGUCUCCGCACGACUUACUCCGGGUUUCAUGGUGAAAUUCGGGGUGGGUCGUGUCACCAGUAGCCUCUACGGUACUCUUUUUGGAUGAGGAUUUGUUGGUUUGGCUAACUAUGCUUUGGCUGCUCUCUCCACUCCUACAUUUUCCUGAUUUGGAAGAUGAUGGAACAUUCAUUGAGCUGUUGUUAAGAUCACAUAGCUCCACCAGAAGCUUUUUAACCUCGGCAGACUUCAUCUUAAUUUCAACAUACCCCAUCUUCAGCCAUUUCUUGCAUAUACUUUCGAAGUUUUUGAUCUUGUAUCUUGGGUUUAACACCAAGGCAAUGAGCGUAAGCUGGUUGCAGUCAUCUGACGUGUCGCGUAACCGGGGUCAAACAACUUCAAUUUAAUUACCCUGCAAUCGUAGUAAUAUAGACAAGUAGGGAUCGUUCUAGCCGGGGAAACCAAAGGGCGAUCGAAAGAAGAUAAACCAAACAACUUAUAAACAAGUAUUCACAUAUAUAUAUUGAAAUAUUGGGGGUUUUAAGAUUGAUUAAUUCUAACAAAUAACCUACUGAAAAUUAAACCUAAGAUUAUUAUAUACAAGUGAUCAACAUACUCAUGCAACACAUAACACGAAAAACCAUCAAGAACACAUAACAACUUCAUGCAAGGCCGGGCAGCAACAUUCAAAUUAUCCUAGACUCUAACCAAUUCCGAUUCUAAUUAGAGCCUUUGCGGUUAUCUAAUUGUUAAGACUCCUCAAGUAUUUAGAACCAUCUUUGCGCUUGAUCCUAAACAUGAAUGCUAACUCAUUUAAAGACACGUUGCGUAGAGAUUAAACAAGAAAACACUUUAGCACACAAGUCAAUCGAAAACUUUAGCACACUUUAGCACACAAGUCAAGGUGGAUGGGUCCUUUUGUGGUUACAAAGGUGUGUCCUCAUGGAGCAGUUGAAAUUCAGAACUUAAGGAACAACUCUACAUUCAAGGUGAAUGGUCAACGUCUCAAGCCUUAUUUGGAGACUACUUUUGAGACCAAUGAGCAACGUGUUCCUCUCACUGAUCCUCCACAACAAUGAGCUUAAUAUGGUCUGGCUGAAGACAAUAAACUUAGCGCUUUCCGGGAGGCAACCCGAAGACCUUUGGAAGAAGAUGGAUGCGUGUUCAGCAUGGAAGAAGGCUUCUUAAUAUGCUCCUAUCUAUUGUCUUCAUACCAGGGACGUUUCCUAUCUCUUUUCUCCUAUUUUUGUUGUUAUUUUCAGAUUUUAGUUGUUUUGGUCAUGCUUUAUCCCCUUAUUUUCGUUACUGUAUUUGUUCUGCAACUUUUCGGGAUUGCAAGCUGUGUUGCAAUCCCUGUUCUGUGCUGAUUUUUCUUCACAUUGCGGACAAUGCUCAAUUUAAGUUUGGGGUGGGGAUUUCGUGUUUUGUUUUUGUUUGUGUGAUUUCUAGGUUUGUUUUAAGUUCUUUUAUUUAAAUUUUUUUUAAUUAAUAAUAAUAAAAAAGAGUCUAGUUUUAGGUUUAUUUUCAGUUGUGUCUUAGGAGUCUUCCAAACAUUGUGAUGAGUAAGAAUUUUUACAGGAAUGAUAUGGUCAUGAGAUGAGAACAAGCAUGUGUUAAUCCAUAACCUUAAAUAAUUGCUAAUGGAUUUUUAUGAUUAUCAUGCUUGAUUUGUUUUGCAUUAAUACUUGAUUUGAACCUUAUGUGAGAUUAUUGAGCCUAUUUGUGCUUUUCUUUUCUGAGUAAUUGCUUAGAUCAUCCUUAUUUCUUGACAUGAAGUUUUGUUGAUUUCACAUUUCGUUUUAUCUUGACUAGUCAUUGACCACAUCUCUUUAAUGAAACUAGAGAAUGCUAGAACUUGUCUUCACACCUGUCGAAGCUUUAUGCCAGUUAAAUGCUGGAACCUCUGAAAGGAUAUAGGCAUUAGGAUUAACCGUCAAAGCCAAAUAAGCUUGUGUCCUAUUGUUGCACACAAGUUGUGCUACCCUUAGAUUAACCCUUUGAGCCUACAUUGAGCCGUUUAUUUCUAAACCACAAAUUCUUUACCUUGAGCUUAGUGUAGAUAUAUCUUUACCCUAUCCUAAGGAAUUAGUGGAGCACAAUAUAUUUGGAGAUUCAUUGUGGUUAAGGUGGUACUGUUGUAAGCAAGUUUGGGGGAGCUACUUAUCGAUUCAAGGAAGGAAAAGAGGAAAAAUAAAGUUGUUGGCUGUUGAAAAAAAGAAGAAACAAAAUAUGCAUAGCCAAAGAGAAAAGGAAGAAAAAAAAUCAAAAGAUGUAAAAAGUUAGCUUCCUUGAAUCUGAUUCAUUGUUGGUUGUAGUUGGGAAGGUUAGAAUGAAGCAAAGGCCCAAAACGGUGACAUCUGGCCUCAUAGAAGAAGAAGAAAAAUCUGAUUACUUGCUUCAUGAAAUUUCAAGUUCAAUGCCUCAAGGAGACAUCAUUGUAGUGCUCUACUAAAUUUCCUUAGGAUCUUUGUGUUUCCUUAUCCCUUCUUUCAUGAAACCCUACACCCUUUGGCCCCAUUACAACCUGAAACAAAGUCCUAUUUGAUCAUUGGGGAUGGCAGCUGGUCUGUUGGAGAUUUUUGUGUGGAGAUGAGCCUAUGGCUUGGGUUUCAUUUGGUCAAUGUCUGGUAUCGUUCGUGAAAUCUGAUUAAACAAUUAUAUUUAUAAAGAGCAUUCUUGUUAUUUACGUGAGCUAUUUGUUUUGUACAUAUUAUCUCUCUCACGUACAUAGGAUGUGUGCAAAAGUCAGAAAAUCAUGAGUGAAAAGAUUGGAGUGCACCCUUGCGAGGAAUCAAGUUGAAACAUGAGAUUUUGAGCAGGAUGGUUAUCAAAAUGGAUUAGUUUUUAAGUGAGGUUGUGAAUUAAUAUUGUGACUGUUUGAAUCUUGAUUGACCAUAUGUGUGGGCAUUAUAGUUCUCUGAUAUGUUUGGAAGGCGUUAGGUUUGUGUUUAGUUUUCUUGUUUUGCUCGAGGACUAGCAAUAUCUAAGUUUGGGGGUAUUUGAUAGAUUCAUAUUUCAUACAUUUUUAUACCCUUAGAUACAUGAUUAUAUGCUUAGUUCUUGUCAAUUGUAAGUCAUUUACUUGGUUUUUAUGUUUUGUAGGUUAAGUUGGAGAAAAAGAGAAUUUGGAGCUAAGUGAUCCAGAAACUGCCCUGCUGUGCGUCAACUUUGAGGAUUAAACUGUACCUGCUCACAAGGAAUCUAGAGGCGAGCCAUACAUCAUUGGAAAGCUACAGAUGUUAGCUUUCUGAGGAAUUUUGCAGAAGUGAAUUUGCAUUUUUCUAGAGCAAGUUAUGAAGGUUUGAGUGAACGCAGCGCGUGGAGGCAGAUUCUGACGAAUUUUGUGUUUCUUCUCAUGAUUCCAAUUUGUGAAGUCCAAGUCCAUCAAUCUUAAUACUACAAGUAAAGGGGCUGAACGUGGCUAACAUAUUUGGAAGGUUACUCUUGCAUUGACAAUAAUAACCUUGUGUUAUUUGGAGAGAAGAAAGCUAUUCCAUAGCGGACAAGGAGACUAAAAAGCCCAAAUCAAUUGGGAUUUCAAGAAGAAUAAAAGAGAACCCUAAGCACGUUAAAGAGGGAGGAGAUACGGCAGAACAGGGAGGCAGCAAGGAACGCAGAGGAAAAGAAGAACAGAGCUUCACCAUCGCUCAACCCGAGUUCCUAUCUCUUCCAUUGUUUCUUCCAUGCUAUCUUUAUUUCUAGUCAUGUUUUCUUUAUCUAUGAAUUUCUAAACUUCUAGCUAGGGCUGAGAUGAAGCCCCUAGUAUGAUUACUCUAUUUCUUUAGUUCAUUGCUUUGAUUCAAUGAAUUGCUCUGUUAAAUUCUCAAUCACCGUUUUAAUAGAACUUUUAUUCAAAAUCUUUGCUCGGGAUCAAUAAGACCUAGGUUUUGUUUAUUAGUUAUUUGGUUUGAAAACAUGAGGCUUGAUUGAGAGUAGAUGUUUUCUAGGGUUCCAAAGGAUUUAUUUAAUCUUGUGAUUAGAGAGUUGUAAGUUAAGAAUACAAGUGCUUGAUCAUAGUCGAUAUUCUUGUUUACAUGAUUUCCUAGUUCUUUUGUGCUUAAUGGAGUUGAACAUGUUUUACUUGAACCUGAUCAUAACGUGAAGUAGAUUAUAGUUUGACUACUUGAGUUCUAUACGGGAUCAAUAAGUUAGAAUUCAUUGUUUAGAAGAACUUUAGCAUAUGUCCGGGAUCAAUAAGGUUUAUGUACGGAAAUCUUUAGCAUGCAAUCUAGGGAGUUCAAUUGCUAUCAACUAGAGAGAAGGGUAGGCGUAUUAGGUGGUGGAUUCAAAGCUUUAUCAUCUUUAUAAUCUGUUCUUAAACUCUUAGAAAUUUCAUUGUUCUCUUGUCUUUAAUUUCAGUUUUAUUACUUUAUUUUCUGUUUUCAAUCCAAACAUCAUAAAAUCAUAUUGUUAUUUCAUUAGGUGUAGUAUAAUUGGCAUAAUAAGUUGUUCUAAUCAAUCCAUAGAGGGAACGACCUGGUGCUUGCACUUCUAUUCUAUAAGUGGUUCGUGCACUUGCAAGUACUAUAUUAAAACAUACAACAGUACGACCCUCCUGCUAGGUCAUAGCAUGAUGUCUAGCGCGAAUCAUGGGACGUCCAUGCUGACCACCACCCUGCUGAGAGCUACCUCUGGCCGAUGCACUGCCCUAAGCACCACUACUGGAGCCUCUAGUUGAAGACUGACUACCUAGAUGGGUAAGGGUGAGGGUGGUCCUCUGAGCCAAUAAUGGACAAUCUCUCCUGAAGUGGUCCUGACUACCACACUCAAAACACCCAGAAAACUGCUGCUGCCCAUAAGAAAAAGUCUAACCACCAGACGUUCCACCCUGGAAGCUGCCACCAGAACAAAACUGUCUAGUCUGCUGCCUACCCAACUGGCUCCGUGAAGAACUUCUGAAACGUCCCUUAGACUUGCUUCGAAAACCAGAGCUAUAUCUACCACUAUUGCCACUACCAGCUGAAGAUCCAAAAGAGGAUGAACAAGCAGCUUUCUUGGAUGGUCCCUGACUAGGACCACUAAAAUCUCGUGGCCGAGCACUAUAAAUCCCCAUAGACUCAAUGGCCAUGGCCGUACUAACAACAUCAAGAAAGGUCGAGUGAUAAACACCCGUCAUCUUGUCUACAUACACUCCACCAAGUUCCCCAAUGAACAUCUCCAUCCUGGUCCUCUCAUCAGGAACCAGAUAUGACACAUGGUAGCUCAGGGUAGUGAACCUCUGCUCAAACUCUAUGACACCCUCAUCAUCCCUCUUCUUCAUGUUCAGGAAGUCCGACUGAAUCCUGCUGCGAUGGGCAUGGCUGAAAUACUACCCUAAGAAGAGGGUCUUGAACAGUUCCCAAGACAUACCCUGAGCACCAUCAAUAUUUCUGCUAGCGAGGGACCACCAAUGAUGAGCUGAAUCAUCUAGAAAAGUCACUACCAUCUUCACCUUCCUUUCUUCUGGCAAAUCAGUGCUAGCAAAAGCAUUUUCCAUUUUGUCCACCCAAUUGUAAGCAUCAAGGGGUCCCUUGGCACUCUUGAACUCUCUUGCUCCAGCCUCAUAAACUUCUCUCCUCUUCACCAUAUGAGGGUGUGGAGCUCGAUCUAUAACAUCCCUCAGCAUAUUCCCAAGAUCAUCAACUAGUCCCCUGACCUCAUUGCCAUCAUUGGCAUUGGUCGAAGUGGCUACACGGGGUUAGCGUGGGCGCCUAGGAGGCAUAGUACCUGAGGAAGAAGAUAUUUAGUAGUCCAUAAACAAGACUAACACAACUAUCACACAUACCCAAUAACACAUAGCAUCAUAAGCAAAAAUGCUAAUGAAUCCGCCACGGUCAGAUCAUCACUCUAUAGACACCACGUGCUACUUAGGCAAAUAUGAUAGUGACAAGGAAGCAGGAAAAGGAAACCUAAAGCUCUGAUACCAACUGUCAAGAUCCACCCCGAAUUUUACCCUAAAACCCGAAGUAAAUCCUGCGGGGACCACCUCCAAGGAAGAUAUUACCAAAAAUUUUGCAUAACCUCCCUUGAAAAUGGACAACCCUUCCUAAACUUCUAAAAAUUCUCAAUCCAACCUUAACUUCUAGAGCCUACGUGCUCCCUAAAAACAACCACCACCAACAGCAAUAAAAAGAUCAACUUCCAGAUCAUCACAUAAUUAUCCCACUAAAAUAGCAUACAUCUUCCUUUAAAUAUUCUAAAAUGUAAUCAAGCCUUCGCCCACAACCGAAAUCAUAUUAUACAAUCCCCAAGGGAAAAUCAAAGCUACUAGACACUAGAGGAAGCAAGAAAAACACUGGUAGGUUAAAUAGAUAACCUACUGAUGAAAGGUGGUGGAAAUGCGGGUGACUAUGCCUCGCCUCCUACUAGAUCCAACCCAAACUCUGCAGACUGGACAUUUUAAAAAGAAGGGCCCAAGGGAAGACAUUUGAAACCGUUAGAGUGAGUGGAAAAAAAUAAAUUUAAAAAGAAAUAAAUCUUUAUGCUUUCCUGAUUUAACUUCUAUGGAAAAACAAUUAACGGCAUGCAACAAGCUCAAAACCUUUUAAAAAUUUACCGAAUUUACCAAAACGUGACUAGCCACGCUAGUCACCAACACUUAAAAAAAAUAGAGCCUCUCAAGCUAAAAUAAAAUAAGUAUGUAUUAUACUGGUCAUAUCCCUUAUAUAAAUUUUCUUGAAACAACAAAGACAAAUAGAAAUUCACACGAGGCUACGGCACAUGCGUCUUACGCUCACGUCGCACCAUAAUGAAAUUUUACCUCAUUAUGGUGGAAAAGACGGUGUAUAUAUACGCGCAUAUCCCCUAUAUAAAUUAUUAUAUUUAUAUAAGGCUACGACGAUUGCGUCUAACGCUCACGUCGCACCAUAAUGGAAUUUUACCUCAUUAUGGUGGAAAAGCACGUAUAGCUAGCUAGCAUUUCUUUAUAUACAUAUUAUUCUCAUAAUCACCGAAAUUCUCAAUUUCGGUUGUUCUCUAACAACGUAAAUUAUUUCGCAUGCACAUUAUUUAAAACAAAAGUCCACUCACAAAAUAGGCCUAAGCCUGAUGUUGAUCCGAGGCCUCUUAUGCUCGAGCCUCCUCACGUCCUGUUCCAAAUAUACAAUUAAAUUACCAACCAAAAAUCCCUUACUUACUCAAAAAUAAGCAAAUUAAACAUGAGUCAUAACCACGCUCAUUCUCGGCUAACUUCGAUAUUCCUAAAUCGAAAUGAUCCAAACUUUAAUACCAUAAUCGGCAGCCGUAACUACAACCUCCCCCAGAAAACGACUUAAAUCCUACGGCCGGAUUCCACAUUAAUUAACCGCCAAAAAUACCAAACUUCGGAAAUUCACAAACCUAUCCAAAACUCAUCCAAAAAUUCCAUAAUUCACAUCAAUAAACUCCCUGCAAUAUUCCACAUUUAAAACUAUAAAAAUCUCCCAAACAGCAGCGGCGGCGCCGCCAGCUCCGCCGGCAGCGGUGGUCGGAGGCCGACUCCGGCGACCUCCAAUGCCUAUGAAAUUUUGACAGAAUCUUCCUCCCAACUCCCUCUACAACUUUCCUAACUAGCACAAACACCAAUUCCAAGCCUAACUAGGUCAAUCGAGCAAAAACAUCCAUAAAUCUAUAGAACUUCAAUUAAACAUCUCUCCUUAACAAGACCGAAUUAAGUCGAUUCCUUUUGAGGGAUCACUAACCUUGAAGAGAGCUACAAGAUGAGCCAAAAAUCUCGAGCUAUGGUGGUCGGAGGUGGGAGCUCCGGCGAAUGACAGUCCGACGUCUCCGGUGGAAAAUCUCCCGAUCGGCGGCGUUACUGGCGCGGGCACUAGGCCGGGAAGAGAGAGGAGACGGCGGGGGUCCAAACUGGGGUGGUCCGGCAGUCUACAGUGGCCGGACGGCAGCGGGUGGUCGGCGGCAAGCUUCCAGCAGUGAGAGUGAGAGAGAGAGAGCUUCGGGAGGAAGAGAGAGAACUGAGGGGAGAGAAAUGGUUUGGGCUUCCCCAAACCGGUCCAACACCUUAUACAAACCCAACUCCAAAUAUUUACACCACAAAAUAAUACCCUAAUAAAACAAAUUACCUUUUACUAGCUAAAAUUUACCAAUUUUACCGUCGUCACACUUCCCUCCUACGAAUAAUUCCUCCGAAAUAAUCGUCCCUCAAAACCCCUCUAAGGACCAACUAAACUAUAAUCUCAGUGACGAAGACGGUAAAACUCUUAUUAAAUACCAAGCUAGUAAUUAAGGUAAAAAUUUAAGAGUCGGGAUGUGACACUAACACUCACGUCACGCCAUAAUGGAAUUUUACCUCAUCAUGACGGACCAAACACGUAUGGCUAGCUAGCAUUUAUAUAUAUACUAUACUCAUAAACAUCCAAUAUACAUAUCCACCGAAAAUCUCAUUUUCGGUAACUCUCCAAAAGAUGAAAAUUGCCAAAUAUCAGAGAAAUCAAUAAAUUUCAGCAGAAGAAUAACUGAUCAACAGUAUAAUGCAUCGCAUGUUUUUAAUUAAAACAAAAGUCCACUCACAAAAGUCCACUUCCGAGGCCUCUUCUGCUCGAGCCUCCUCACGUCCUGUUCCAAAUAUAUAAUUAAUUUCCCAAAUAAAAGUUCAAUAUCUACACAAAAUAGGCAAAAUUAAAUGUGAGCCUUAACCACGCUCAUCAUUGCCUAACUUUGAAAUUUCUAAUUCGAAAUGUUCCAAACUUCAAUACCAUAAUCGGCAGCCUUAUUACAACCUUCCACAGAUUAAACAACUUUAAUCCAACUGCCGGAUUCUAUCCUAAUUAACCGCCAAAAUACCAAACUUUGAAAAAUCCCAAACCUAUCCAAAAUUCUUCAAAAAAUUCCAAACUUCGCAUCAUUAAACUCCCCUUAAUGUAACCAAUUUAAAACCAUGAAAAUCCCCCAAACAGCGGCGGCCGGAGGCCGACUCCGGCGACCUUCAAUGCUUACUAAAUUUGACAGCAUCUUCCUCUCAACUCCCUCUACAACUUUCCUAACUAGCACAAACACCAAUUCCAAGCCUAGAUAAGGUAAUCAAACAAAAACAUCAAAUGAGCUCUAGAAUUUCAACUCCAUAUUUCUCCUUACCUAACUCAAGAAGGAGUGAAACCUUGGGAGGGUUGAAUGCACGGGAAGAGAGCUUUCUUUUGAGCCAAGUAGCUUCGGCUAUGGCGGCCGGAGGAGGGAGUUUCGGCGACGGGGAGCUACGGGCAGUCGGGACUUUCGGGCUUGGUUUCUCUCUCACGGCGGCGCUAGGGAGGCUGCCACCGGUCCAGGAAGGAAGAGGGAACAAGGGCCGACUGAUUGGGACCGGAGUGGCGGUCUGAGGCAGGCGGACGGCGGCGGGCGGACGGCUUGAAAUUCUGGCAGGGAGAGAGGGCUCGGAGAGAAAUCGGGUGAGGAGAGAGAGAAGUGAGGGGAGAGUUAUGUUGGGCUUUCCCAACCGGUCCUAACCCAACAACAAUAAAACCCAACUCCAAAAUUAAUACCCCAAAAUAAUACCCCAAUAAAAAUUACUUUUUGCUAGCUAAAAUUUACCAUUUUUACCGUCGUCACAUUUUUCUCCCAGGAAUAAUUCCUUCAAAUUAAAUGUCCCAAAAACCCCUCUAGGGUCCAUUUAAACUAACAACUCAUUGACGAAAACGGUAAAAUUCUUAUUAAUACCAAGCUAGUAAAUAAGGUAAAAAUUUAAGAGUCGGGUUGUGACAGUAAAUCUGUUGUACAAACUCACUUCAUAAAAUAUUCUGUCACGCCCCGAAUCUUAAUUUUUACCUUUAUUACUGGCAUAGUGAUAUCAUGAGUUUUUACCGUGUUCGUCACUAAGUGUGUAAUUUAAUUAAUUCCCAGAGGGUGUUGAGGGACUAAUAUUUUGAGGGAAUUAUUCUAAGGAAGAAUUUUUGACGACGGUAAAAAAUAGUAAUUUUUGUUAGUAAAAGGUAAUUUUAUUGGGGUAUUAUUUCGGGGUGUUGAAUUUUGGAAUUUUGGGUUAAAAGGAGUGUUGGGUCGGCUGGGCCGAGCCCAACCCAUUUCUCCUUCUUUUCCUUUCUCUCUCUCUCUCUCCCGUUUUCUCUCCUCCCACCCGAAUUUCUUCUCCCUCCACCCGGAAAAAUUCACCACCGCUGCCCGCCGCCGUCCGGCCACCAGCCGCCGCCGCUCCAGCCCAGAUCGGACCCCCGUCACCUCCUCUUCCUCCCCGGCCUAGUGUCCGAGCCGGUGGUGCCGCCGAAGAGAAGAAAAGCCGUCGGAACCGCCGACUGUCCCUUCGCCGGAGCUCCGUCUUCCGGCCACCAUAGGUCGUGAUUUUUGGCUCAACUUGUAGCCCUCAUCUAGGUGAGUAAUCCCUCAAAAGGUUUCGGCUAAAUUCGAUUUCGUUAGGGAGGUUUGUUUAAUUGAAAGUUUUAAGGAUUUAUGGUUGUUUGUGUUCGAUCGAN
rnacentral:lncRNA from 1 species